rnacentral:lncRNA from 1 species
AUCUAUCCGGUCCUCUGGCAUUGGAUACAUCCACUCGAUGCCCCCGACUAAGAUUAGCCACCGAUGUAUCUAAUCUAUUCAUCCAAGCCUCCUGCUUCUCCAACCUAUCUCUCACAUCUCCAAACGCCCUCUCAAACCUCUGCACCAAAUCCUCUGAUGCAUUGCUAUUAUUGCCUUGUCGGCUUGAAUUUGAUUCUGCCAUUUCUGACAUCCUAACACUAAAGAUCUUUAUUUUACUGCCUCAUCAAAAGUCACUCGAAAACACACAAGGGGUUUUACCCUCUAUUAAGCUCACCUCUCUGCUUUUUACCACUUAAUUCUUUCAACAAUUGCUUCUAGGAACAAUCAAUGAACUCAAUCAAUCAAUCAAAUUGUGUAGAAUUCCCCAAACCGGAUGUGACUCAAUAAUUGUAACAAAGGACUCAAAGAAAACUUUUAAAGCUUGACUUGAAUUGAAAGAAUGGAAUGACUUAAUGUGUCCAAGUAAUUUAGAAACGAUAAUGAAUAAUAAAAGUUGGUAUUUGAUGGAUCAAUAAUAUUUAACAAGGUUUUGUACGGAUGAACAGUACCGUACAGAUGAACGGUAAUUUUUUUUAGAUCUGGAAAUCAAUAAAAAAACUAACGAAGAAAAUGAAAACUGAUUCGAACAAAAAUUGAGCCCAGAAAUGGAAUUUGAAAUUUUUUUAUGAAACUUUUGGAUCAAAGAUCAAGAAAACCUUCUGGAUACAAGAACACAAGGAAUUGAAAAAAAAUUAGAAAACAAAGGAUAUAACUUGAUUAAAUUGGAGCCAAAGCUUUGAUACCAACCGAUACGAACCCCGUAGCAAUGGAAACUACGAAACCCACAACGAGAUUGAUGCGGAACCCAAGAACGCCAAUACUAACCACGUUUUGGAUCUUGAACCCCAAGAAUUGAACCAAGAAACCCUAGAUUAGCGAAGAACCUAAAACCCCUUGAUUAAAAUUAAAAGAACCCACAAUCCGAUUGAUUAGAACGCCACAAGAAGUUGAAUUUUGAUAAGUUCCAAGAUUAUUCAAGAAGAACAAGAAAUUGAAAGAACAAUUCUCUCUCUAUAAUAUUAAGAAAAAGUUAAAAGUUGUUACAAUGAAAAGUAUUCUCGUAUUUAUACUAAGGAGUAAAAACGUCCAAAAUCAUGGUAAUAAUUUGAUUUCAUAAGAAUUCUAUCGAAACUAGGAAAUUCGGCCAAAAUUAGAAAAUUCGCCAAUUUUUUUGGCUUGUGCGGCCGCAUAGUGUAAUUCCAUGCGGUCGCAUGGUUCAACAAGAAAUGCAAUAUUUGUUUUCGGUAUGCCACUGUGUGGCUGCAUGAUGUUUUGCCUGUGCAGCCGCAAAGGCUUGUUUUCAGCCUCCGAUUUUGUCGCUUGAUAACAAAUUGAUCCAAGUUGAUUCGGCCUUCGACCCGAACAUGAAAGUUGCUCCAUUUUGAGUCUCGAACAUGGUUCCAUCAAUGGUUUCUUGAACGAGAAAUCCCAUCGCUUGUUUCACUUGCUUUGUCCUUGAUCGCGUCAUUGGUCCGCCAUCGACUAUCAGCGGGUCUCAUCUCACACUUGCCUUCGUCGGGCUUGACUCCUGGAUCAUAUCACUUACGGCAUGGACACUAUGGUGUACACUUUAGUUUACACUUUCCCAAGGUUCAUUACCCUAUUGGACAGUAAAUAUUUCAAACAAUUUUCCAUUCAAUUGAUAAUUGACAACAAUCGGUAAGAACCUUGCGACAUUUACACUGUGGUGUACACUUUAGUUUACACUUUGCCACGUGACACUGCCAUACUGGACUGUUUAAAUUUCAAAAAGUUUUCUCAUCUAAUUGACACUUCACAAUAAAGUGAGUGUCAAACAACGUUUCAAAAAUCAGUGUACAAAUAGCAAAGUUCAAUCGGUAAGAACUUUGCUACAUGUACACUAUGGUGUAAACUUUAGUUUACACUUUGCCACGUAACAUUACCCUGUCGGACAUUUUAAAUUUCAAACAGUUUUCUCAUCUAAUUGACACCUGACAACAAAGCAAGUGUCAAACAACGUGUCAAAAAUCAGUGUAUAAAUAGCAAAGUUCAAUCAGCAAGAAUCUUACCACAUGUACACUAUGGCAUACACUUUAGUUUACACUUUGCCAGGUGUCAUCACCCUGUUGGAUAGUUUAAAUUUCAAAAAAUUUUCCCAUCCAAUUGACACUUGACAACAAUCCAAAUGUCAAACAACAUUUCAAAAAUUAGUGUACAAAUAACAAAGUUCAUUCGGUAAAAACCUUGCUACAUGUACACUAUGGUGUACACUAUAGUCUACACUUUGCUUCGUGACUUUACUCUAUUGGACAAUUUAAAUUUCAAUCAAUUUUCCAUCCAAUAGACCCUUGAGAACAAUAAAGGCGUCAAAUAACUUGUCAAAAAUCUGUGUACGAAUAGCAAAGUUCAAUCGGUAAAGACCUUGCUACACGUACGCUAUGGUGUACACUUUAGUUUACUCUUUGCCAUGUGACAAUAGCUUGUUGGACAGUUUAAAUUUCAAACAGUUUUUCCAUCCAAUUGACACUUGACAAUAAUGCAAUUGUACAAAUAGUAAAGUUCAAUCGGCAAGAACCUUGCUACAUGUACACUAUGGCCCACUUUAAUUUACACUUUGUCAUGUGACAAUACCCUGUUGGACAGUUUAAAUUGCAAACAAUUCUCCCAUCCAUUUGACAAUCGACAACAACUAUGCAAUUGUAAAAGGUGUCAAAAAUUAGUGUACAAAUAACAAAGUUCAAUCAGUAAGAACCUUGCGACAUGCACACUACAGUGUACACUUUAGUUUACAAUUUACCACGUGACACUACCCUGUUAGACAAUUUAAAUUUCAAACAAUUUUUCCAUCUAAUUGACACUUGACAACAAUAUAGGUGUCAAACAACGUGUCAAAAAUUAGUGUACAAACAGUAAAUUUCAAUCGGUAAGAACCUUGCUACAUGUACACGAUGGUGCAGACUUUAAUUUUACACUUUGCCUCAUGACAUUACCCUGUUGGACAGUUUAAAUUUCAAACAGUUUUCCCACCUAAUUGACACUUAACAACAAUGCAAGUGCCAAACGACAUGUCAAAAAUCAGUGUACAAAUAGCGAAGUUCAAUCGUAAGAACCUUACUACAUGUACACUAUGGUACACUUUAAUUUUCACUUUGCCACAUGACAUUACCCUGUUGGACAGUUUAAAUUUCAAACAGUUUUCCCAACCAAUUAACAAUUGACAACAAUGCAAGUGUCAAAGGUAUCAUAAAUCAGUUUACAAAGAGCAAAGUUCAAUCGGUAAGAACCUUGCGACAUGUACACUAUGGUGUACACUUUAGUUUACACUUUGCCAUGUGACACAUCCCUGCUAGACAGUUUAAAUUUCGAACAGUUUUCCCAUCCAAUUGACACUUGACAACAAUGUAAGUGUAAAACAACGUGUCGAAAGACAGAGUACAAAUAGCAAAGUUCAAUCGUUAAGAACCUUGUUAUUUGUAUACUAUGGUGUACACUUUAGAGUACGCUUUUCCACGUGACAUUACCCUGUUGGACAGUUUAAAUUUCAAACAGUUUUCCAAUCCAAUUAACACUUGCCAAUGAUGCAUGUGUCAAACAACGUAUCAAAAAAUAUUAAACAAAGAGCAAAGUUCAAUCGGUAAGAACCUUACGACAUGUACACUAUGAUGUACACCUUAGUUUACACUUUGCCAGGGGUCAUUACCCUAUUGGACAGUAUAAAUUUCAAACAACUUCCCAUCCAAUUGACAAUUGAAAACAAUGCAAGUGUCAAACAACUUGUCAAAAAUCAGCGUACAAAUAGCAAAGUUUAAUCGGUAAGAACCUUGCUACAUGUACACUAUGGUGUACACUUUAGCUUACACUUUGUCACGUAACAUUUCCCUGUGGGAUAGUUUAAAUUUCAAACAGUUUCCCCAUCUAAUUAACACUGACAACAAUGCAAGUGCCAAACAACGUGUCAAAAAUCAGUGUACAAAUAGCAAAGUUCAAUUGGUAAGAAGCUUGCCGCAUGUACACUAUGACGUACACUUUAGUUUACACUUUGCUAGGUGUCAUACCCUGUAGGACGGUUUAUAUUUCAAAUAGUUUUCCCGCCCAAUUGACACUUGUCGACAAUGCAAGUGUCAAACAACGUGUAAAAAAUAAGUGUACUAUAAGCAAUGUUCAAUCGGUAAGAACCUGGCUACUUAUACCCUAUGGUGUAAACUUUAGUUCACACUUUCCCCCAUGACAUUACUCCAUUGGACAGUUUAAAUUUCAAAUAGUUUUUUCAUCCAAUUGACACUUGACAACAAGACAAGUGUCAAACAACGUGUCAAAAAUUAGUGUACGAAUAGCAAAGUUCAGACGGUAAGGACCUUGGUACAUGUACACUAUGUUGUGCACUUUAGUAUACAGUUUGCCAGGUGUCAUUACCCUAUUGGACAGUUUAAAUUUCAAACAGCUUUCCCAUCCAAUUGACACUUGACAACAAUGUAAACGUCGAACAACUUGUUAAAAAUCAGUGUACAAACAGCAAAAUUCAAUCGGUAAGGACCUUGCUACAUGAACACUAUGGUGUACACUUUAGUUUACACUUUGUCACGUAACUUUAUCCUGUUGGGCAGUUUAAAUUUCAAAUAGUUUCACAUCUAAUUGACACCUGACAACUAUGCAAAAAUCCUCGUGUCAAAAAUUAGUGUACAAAUAGCAAAGUUCAAUCGGUAAGAACCUUGCCACAUGUACACUAUGGUGUACACUUUAGUUUACACUUUGCCCCAUGACAUUACUCUAUUAGACAGUUUAAAUUUUAAAUAGUUUUUCCAACCAAUUAACCUUGACAAUAAUACAGCUGUCAAGUAACGUGUCGAAAUUAAGUGUACAAAUAGCAAAGUUCAAUCGGUAAGGACCUUGCUACAUGUACACUAUGGUGUACACUUUAGUUUACUCUUUGCCACGUGAUAUUACCCUGUUGGACAGUUUAAAUUUUAAACAGUUUUCCCAUCCAAUUGACACUUGACAACAAUGCAAGUCUCAAACAACAUGACAAAAAUUAGUGUACGAAUAGCAAAGUUAAAUAGACAAAAACCUUGCGAUAUGUACACUAUAGUGCACUUUAAUUUACACUUUUCCACGUGACAUUAUCAUGUUGGACAGUUUAUAUCGCAAACCAUUUUUCCAUCCAAUUGACACUUGACAAAAGCAGUGCAGGUGUAAAAUGUGUCGAAAAUCAGUGUACAAAUAACAAAGUUCAAUCGGUAAGAACAUUGCGACAUGUACACUAUGGUGUACACUUUAGUUUACAAUUCACCACGUGCCACUACCCUACUGGACAGUUUAAAUUUCAAACAGUUUUCCCAUCUAAUUGACACUUGACAACAAUGCAAGUGUCAAACAACAUGCCAAAAAUCAGUGUACCAAUAGCAAAGUUCAAUCAAUAAGAACCUUGCUACAUGUACCCUAUGGUGUAGACAUUAAAUUUAUGCUUUGCGACGUGACAUUACCCUAUUGGACAGUUUAAGUUUCAAAAAGUUUUCCCAUCUAUUUGAUGCUUGACAACAAGGCAAGUGUUAAACAACGUGUCAAAAAUCAGUGUACAAAUAGAGAAAUUUCAACCGGUUAGAACCUUGCUACAUGUACACUAUGGUGUACACUUUAGUUUACACUUUGCUAAGUAACAUUACCCUGUUGGACAGUUUAAAUUUUGAGCAGUUUUCCCAUCUAAUUGACACCUGACAACAAUGCUAGUGUCAAACAACGUGUCAAAAAUUAGUGUACAAAUAGCAAAGUUCAAUCGGUAAGAAACUUGCCAAAUGUACACUAUGUCGUACACUUUAGUUUACACUUUGCCAGGUGUCAUUAUCGUGUUGGACAGUUUAAAUUUCAAAUAGUUUUCCCAUCCAAUUGACACUUGAUAACAAUCCAAAUGUCAAACAAUGUGUCAAAAAUCAGUGUACAAAUAGCAAAGUUCAGUCGAUAAGAACUUUGCUACAUGUACACUAUGGUGUACACUUUAGUUUACACUUUGCCCCGUGACAUUACUCUAUUGGACAAUUUAAAUUUCAAACAGGUUUUCCAUACAAUUGACCCUUGACAACAAUAAAGGUGCUAAAUAACUUGUCAAAAAUCAGUGUUCAAAUAGCAAAAUUCAAUCGGUAAGGACCUUGCUACAUGUACACUAUGGUGUACACUUUAGUUUACUCUUUACCACGUGACAUUACUCUAUUGCUCAUUUUAAGUUUCAAAUGGUUUUCCCAUCCAAUUGAUACUUAACAACAAUGCAAUUGUCAAACAGCGUGACAAAAAUAUGUGUACAAAUAGAAAAGUUCAGUCGACAAGAACCUUGCUACAUGUACACUAUGGUCCACUUUAAUUUACACUUUGCCACGUGACAUUACCCUAUUGGACAGUUUAAAUUGCAAGCAGUUUUUCCAUCCAAUUGACACUUGACAACAACAAUGCAAGUGUAAAAGGUGUCAAAAAUCAAUUUACAAAUAGCAAAGUUCAAUAGGCAAGAACCUUGCGACAUGUAUACUACGGUGUACACUUUGGAUUACAAUUUUCCAUGCGACACUACGCUGCUGGAUAGUUUAAAUUUCAAAACAAUUUUCUUAUCUAAUUAACACUUGACAACAAUGCAAGUGUCAAACAACGUGUCAAAAAUCAGUGUACAAAUAGUAAAGUUCAAUCGGUAAGAACCUUGCUACAUGUACACUAUGGUACAGACUUUAAUUUUACACCUUGCCACGUGACAUUAUCCUGUUGGACAUUUUAAAUUUCAAGCAAAUUUCCCAUCCAAUUGGCACUUGCAACAGUGCAAGUGUCAAACAUCGUGUCAAAAAUCUGUGUACAAAUAGCACAGUUCAAUCGGUAAGAACCUUGCUACAUAUACACUAUGGUACACUUUAAUUUCCACUUUGCCACAAGACAUUACUCUGUUAGACAGCUUAAAUUUCAAAUCGUUUUCCCAUCCAAUUGACACUUGACAACAAUGCGAGUGUCAAAGGUGUCAUAAAUCAGUUUACAAAUAGCAAAGUUCAAUCGGUAAGAAUCUUGCUACUUGUACCCUAUGGUGUACACUUUAGUUUACACUUUGCCCCGUGACAUAACUCUAUUGGAGAAUUUAAAUUUCAAACAAUUUUUUCAUCCAAUUGACACUUGACAACAAUACAAGUGUCAAACAACGUGUCAAAAAUUAGUGUACAAAUAGCAAAAUUCAAUCGGUAAGGACCUUGCUACAUGUACACUAUGCUAUACACUUUAGUUUACACUUUGCCAGGUGUCAUUACCCUAUUUCAAAUAGUUUUCCCAUUCAAUUGACACUUGACAAUAAUGUAAACGUCGAACAAUGUGUCAAAAAUCAGUGUACAAAUAGCAAAGUUCAAUCGGUAAGGACCUUGCUACAUGUACACUAUGGCGUACACUUUAGGUUACACUUUGCCAAGUGUUAUUACUAUGUUGGACAGUUUAAAUUUCAAACAGUUUUUUCCGUCCAAUUGACACUUGACAACAAUCCAAAUGUCAAACAAUGUGUCAAAAAUCAGUGUACAAAUAGCAAAGUUCAAUCGGUAAGAACCUUGCUACAUGUACACUAUGGUGUACACUUUAGUUUACACUUUGCCCCGUGACAUUACUCUACUGGACAACUUAAAUUUCAAACAAUUUUUCCAUACAAUUAAGCGUUGACAACAAUAAAGGUGUCAAAUAACAUGUUGGAAAUCAAUGUACAAAUAACAAAGUACAAUCGGUAAGGACUUUAGUUUACACUUUUCCAUAUGACGUCACCCUACUGGAGAGUUAAAAUUUAAAAACGUUUUCCCAAACAAUUGACACUUGACAACCGUACAAGUGUCAAACAACGUGUUAAAAAUCAGUGUACAAGUAGCAAAGUUCAAUCGGUAAGGACCUUGCUACAUGAACUCUAUGGUGUACACUUCAGUUUGCACUUUGCCACGUGACAUUACCCUGUUCGACAGUUUAAAUUUCAAACAAUUUUCCCAUCUAAUUGACACUUGACGACAAUGCAAAUGUCAAACGAAGUGUUAAAAAUCAGUGUACGAAUAGCAAAGUUCAAUCGGUAAGAACUUUGCUACAAGUACACUAUGGUGUUCACAUAGCAAGGUUCAUACAGUUUCAAUUUAUCCAUCCAAUUGACACCUGACAACGAUGCAAGUGUCAAACAACGUGUGAAAAAUUGGUGUACAAAUAGCAAAGUUCAAUCGGUAAGGACUUUGCCACAUGUACACUAUGGUAUACACUUUAGUUUACACUUUGCAACGUAAUAUUACCCUGUUGGAUAGUUUAAAUUUCAAAUAGUUUUCACUUCCAAUUGACACUUGGCAACAAUGCAAGUGUCAAAGAAGGUGUCAAAAAUCAGUGGAUAAAUAGCAAUGUUCAAUCGGUAAGGACCUUGCUACAUGUACACUAUGGUGUACAAUUUAGUUUACUCUUUUCCACGUGACUUUACCCUAUUGGACAGUUUAAAUUUCAAAAAGUUUUUCCAUCCAAUCGACACUUGACAACAAUGCUAGUGUCAAACAACGUGUACAAAUAGCAAAGUUUAAUCGAUCUGAACCUUGCUAUAUGUACACUAUGGUGUACAAACUUUAGUUUACACAAUGCCCCGUGACAUUACCAUGCCGAAAAGUUUAAAUUUUAAACAAUUUUUCUAUCAAAUUGACACCUGACAACAAUGCAAGUUUCAAACAAUGUGUCAAACAUUAGUGUACAAAUUGCAAAGUUCAAUCGAUAAGGACCUUGCUAUAUGUACACUAUGGUGUACAAUUUAGUUUACACUUUGUCACGUGACAUUACCCUAUUGGAUAGUUUAAAUUUCAAAUAAUUUUCCCAUCCAAUUGACACUUGACAACAAUGCAAGUGUCAAACAACGUGCAAAAAUCAGUUUAAAAAUAGCAAAGUUCAAUCGGUAUGAACCGUUCUAUGGGUACACUAUGGUCUAUACUUUAGUUUACUCUUUGCCACGUGACAUUACCCUGUCGAACAUUUUAAAUUUCAAACAGUUUUCCCAUCCACUUGACAGUUGACAACAAUGCAAGUGUCAAACAACAUGUAAAAAUUCAGUGUAUAAAUAGCAAAGCUCAAUUGUCAAGAACGUUGCAAUAUGUACACGAUAGUGUAUACACUUUAGUUUACACUUGACAACUUGACAUUACCCUACUGGACAAUUUAAAUUUCAAACAGUUUUUCCAUCAAAUUGACACUUGACAACAAUGCAGUGUCAAACAACAUGUCAAAAAUCAGUGCACAAAUAGCACAGUUCAAUCGGUAAGGACCUUGCUACAUGUACACUAUGGUGUACACUUUAGUUUACACUUUCCCACAAGACAUUACCCUACUGGAUAGUAUAAAUUUCAAACAAUUUUCCCAUCUAAUUGAUACUCGACAACAAUGCAAGUGUCAAACAACCUGUGAAAAAUCUGUGUACGAAUAGCAAAGUUCAAUCGGUAAAAACCUUGCUACAUGUACACUAUGGUGCACACUUUAGUUUACACUUUGCCACGUGACAUUACCCUGUUGGACAAUUUAAAUUUCAAACAAUUUUCCCAUCCAAUGGACACUUGACAACAAUGCAAGUGCCAAACAACAUAUCAAAAAUCAGUUUACCAAUAGCAAAGUUCAAUCGGUAUGAACCAUGCUACAGGUACGCUAUGGUGUACACUUUAGUUUACACUUUGUCAAGUGACGUAUGAAGAGCAAAAUUCAAUCGGCAAGAACCUUGCUAUAUGUACACUAUGGCAUACACACUUUAGUGUACACUUUACCACUUGACAUUAUCCUGCUGGGCAAUUUAAAUUUCAAACAGUUUUUCCAUCAAAUUGACACUUGACAACAAUGCAAGUGUCAAACAACGUGUCCAAAAUCAGUGCAAAGUUCAAUCGGUAAGGAACUUGCCACAUGUACACUAUAGUUUACACUUUCCCACGUGACAUUACUCUGUUGGGUAGUUUAAAUUUCAAAAAUGUUUUCCCAUUCAAUUGACACUUGAAAACAAUGUAAGUGUCAAACAACGUGUCAAAAAUUAGUGUACAAAUAAUAAAGUUCAAUCGGUAAGGACCUUGCUACAUGUACACUAUGGUGUACACUUUAGUUUACUCUUUGCCAUGUGAUAUUAUCCUGUUGGAUAGUUUAAAUUUCAGACAGCUUUCCCUUCCAAUUGACACUUGACAACAAUGACAAUGUCAAACAUCAUGUCAAAAAUAAGUUUACAAAUAGCAAAUUUCAAUCGGUACGAACCAUGCUACAGGUACACUUUGAUGCACACUUUAGUUCACUCUUUGCCAUGUCACAUUACCCUGCUGGACAAUUUAAAUUUGAAAUAGUUUUCCCAUCCAAUUGAAACUCGACAACAAUGUAAGUGUCAAACAACGUGUCAAAAAUCAGCGUAUGAAUAGCAAAAUUCAAUUCGUAAGAACCUUGCUAUAUGUACACUAUGGUGUACACACUUUAGUUUACACUUUGCCACUUGACAUUACCCUGCUGGACAAUUUAAAUUUCAAACAGUUUUCCAUCAAAUUGACACUUGACAACAAUUCAAGUAUCAAACAAUGUGUCAAAAAUCAUUGCAUGAAUAGCAAAGUUCAAUAGGUAAGUACCUCGCUACAUGUACACUAUGGUGUAUACUUCAGUUUACACUUUGCCACAUGACAUUACCCUAUUGGACAGUUUAAAUUUCAAAUAGUUUUCCCAUCCAAUUGACACUUGGCAAUAGUGCAAGUGUCAAACAACGUGUCAAAAAUCAGUUUACAAAUAGCAAAGUUCAAUCGGUAAGGACCUUGCUAUAUGUACACUGUGGUAUAUACUUUAGUUUACUCUUUUCCACGUAACUUCACUAUUGGACAGUUUAAAUUUCAAAAAGUUUUCCCAUCCAAUUGAAACUUAACAACAAUGCAAGUGUCAAACAACAUGUAAAAAUUCAGUGUAUAAAUAGCAAAGUUCAAUUGUCAAAAACCUUGCUAUAUGUGCACGAUGGUGUACAUACAUUAGUUUACACCUUGCCACUUGACAUUACCCUGCUGGACUAUUUAAAUUUCAAACAGUUUUUCCAUCAAAUUAACACUUGACAACAAUGCAAGUGUCAAACAACCUGUCAAAAAUAAGUGCACAAAUUGAAAAGUUCAAUUGGUAAGGACCUUGUUACGCGUACACUAUGGUGUACACUUUAGUUUACACUUUGCCACAAGACAUUACCUUGCUGGACAGUAUAAAUUUCAAAAAGUUUUCCCAUCUAAUUGAUACUCAGCAACAAUACAAGUGUCAAACAACCUAUGAAAAAUCAGUGUACAAAUAGCAAAGUUCAAUCGAUAAGAACUUUGCAACAUGUACACUAUGGUGUACAUUUUAGUUUACACUUUGUCACGCGACAUUACCCUGUUGGACAGUUUAAAUUUCAAACAGUUUUUGGGUCCAAUUGACACUUGACAACAAUGCAAGUACCAAACAACAUGUCAAAAAUCAGUUUACAAAUAGCAAAGUUCAAUCGAUAUGAACCAUGCUACAGGUACAUUAUGGUGUGCACUUUAGUUUACACUUUGCCACAUGAUGUUUUCAUGUUGGACAGUUUAAAUUUUAAACAGUUUUUCCAUCCAAUUUACACUUCACAACAAUGCAAGUAUCGAACAACGUGUCAAAAAUCAGCAUAUGAAGAGCAAAAUUCAAUUGGCAAGAACCUUGCUAUAUGUACACUAUGGUGUACACACUUUAGCUUACACAUUGCCACUUGACAUUACCCUACUGGACAAUUUAAAUUUCAAACAGUUUUUCCAUCAAAUUGACACUUGAUAACAAUGCAAGUGUCAAGCAACGUGUCAAAAAUCAGUGCAAAAACAGCAAAGUUCAAUCGGUAAGGAACUUGCCACAUGUACACUAUGGUGUACACUAUAGUUUACACUUUCUGAUGUGACAUUAUCCUGUUGGAUAGUUUAAAUUUCAAAAAGUUUUCCCAUCCAAUUGAUACUUGACAACAAUGCAAGUGUCAAACAACGUGUCAAAAAUCAGUGUACAAAUAAUAAAGUUCAAUCGGUAAGGACCUUACUACAUGUACACUAUGGUGUACACUUUAGUUUACUCUUUGCCAUGUGACAUUACCCUAUUGGAUAGUUUUAAUUUCAAAUAGCUUUCCCUUCCAAUUGACUCUUGACGACAACGAUAGUGUCAAACAACGUGUCAAAAUAAGUUUACAAAUAGCAAAGUUCAAUCGGUACGAACCAUGCUACAGGUACACUUUGGUGCACACUUUAGUUUACUAUUUCCCAUGUGACAUUACCCUGUUGGACAGUUUAAAUUUGAAACAGUUUUCCCAUCCAAUUGAAACUCGACAACAAUGUAAGUGUCAAACAACAUGUCAAAAAUCAGCGUAUGAAUAGCAAAAUUCAAUCGGUAAGAACCUUGCUAUAUGUACACUAUGGUGUACACACUUUAGUUUACACUUUGCCACUUGACAUUACCCUGCUGAACAAUUUAAAUUUCAGACAGUUUUUCCAUCAAAUUGACACUUGACAACAAUGCAAGUGUCAAACAACGUGUUAAAAAUCAGUGCACGAACAGCAAAGUUCAAAAGGUAAGGACCCCGCUACAUGUGCACUAUGGUGUACACUUUAGUUUACACUUUGCCACGUGACAUUACCCGAUUAGACAGUUUAAAUUUCAAACAGUUUUCCCAUCCAAUUGACACUUGGCAAUAAUGUAACUGUCAAACAACGUGUCAAAAAUCAGUUUACAAAUAGCAAAGUUCAUUCGGUAAGGACCUUGCUAUAUGUACACUGUGGUGUAUACUUUAGUUUACUCUUUUCCACGUGACUUUACUAUUGGACAAUUUAAAUUUCAAAAUGUUUUCCCAUCCAAUUGACACUUAACAACAAUGCUAGUGUCAAACAAUGUGUCAAAAAUCAGUGUACAAAUAGCAAAGUUCAAUCGGUCUGAACUUGCUAUAUGUACACUAUGGUGUACAAACUUUAGUUUACACUUUGCCACGUGACAUUAUCCUGCUAGAUAGUUUAAAUUUCAAACAGUUUUUCCAUCCAAUUGACACUUGAUAACAAUGCAAGUGUCAAACAACAUGUCAAAAAUUAGUGUACAAAUAGUAAAGUUCAACCGGUAAGGACCUUGCUACAUGUACACUGUGGUGUACACUUUAGUUUACUCUUUGCCACGUGACAUUACUCUUUUGGACAGUUUAAAUUUCAAACAGUUUUCCCAUCCAAUUGACACUUGACGAUAAUGCAAGUGUCAAACAACGUGUCAAAAAUAAGUUUACAAAUAGCAAAGUUCAAUUGGUAUGAACCAUGCUACAGGUACACUAUUGUGUACACUUUAGUUUAAUCUUUGCCUUGUGACUUUACGCUAUUGGACAGUUUGAAUUUCAAAUAGUUUUUCCGUCCAAUUAACACUUGACAACAAAGCAAGUGUCAAACAACGAGUCAAAAAUUAGCGUAUGAAUAGCAAAAUUCAAUCGGUAAGAACCUUUUUAUAUGUACACUACGGUGCACACACUUUAGUUUACACUUUGCCACGUGACAUUACCCUGCUGGACACUUUAAAUUUCAAACAAUUUCUCUGAAAUUGACACUUCACAACAAUGCAAGUGUCAAACAACGUGUAAAAAAUUAGUGCACAAAUAACAAAGUUUAAUCAGUAAGGACCUUGCUACAAGUACACUAUGGUGUACACUUCAGUUUACACUUUGCCACGUGAUAGUAUCCUGUUGGACAGUUUAAAUUUCAAACAAUUUUCCCAUCCAAUUAACACUUGGCAACAAUGCAAGUGACAAACAAUGUGUCAAAAAUCAGUGUACAAAUAGCAAAGUUCAAUCGGUAAGGACCUUGCUAUAUGUACACUAUAGUGUACACUUUAGUUUACACUUUACCACAAGACAUUACUCUGCUGGACAGUUUAAAUUUCAAAUAGUUUUCCCACCUAAUUGAUACUCGACAACAAUGCAAGUGUCAAACAACGUGUGAAAAAUCUGUGUACAAAUAGCAAAGUUCAAUAGGUAAGAACCUUGCUACAUGUACACUAUGGAAUACAUAUUAGUUUACACUUUCCCACGUGCCAUUACCCUGUUGGAUAGUUUAAAUUUCAAACAGUUUUCCCAUCCAAUUGACACUUGACAACGAUGCAAGUGCCAAACAACAUGUCAAAAAUCAGUUUACAAAUAGCAAAGUUCAAUCGAUAUGAACCAUGCUACAGGUACACUAUGGUGUACACUUUAGUUUACACUUUGCCACGUGACGUUUCCACGUUGGACAGUUUAAAUUUCAAACAAUUUUUCCAUCCAAUUGACACUUCACAACCAUUCAAGUAUUAAACAACGUGUCAAAAAUUAGUGUACAAAUAGCAAAGUUAAAUCAGUAAGGACCUUCCUACAUGGACACUAUGGUGUAUACUUUAGUUUACACUUUGUGACGUGACAUUAUCCUAUUGGACAGUUUAAAUUUCAAACAGCUUUCCCGUCCGAUUGACCCUUGACAACAAUGCGAGUGUCAAACAAUGAGUCCAAAAUCAAUGUACAAACAGCAAAGUUCAAUCGCUAAGGAACUUGCCACAUGUACACUAUGGUGUACACUAUAGUUUAUACUUUGCCACGUGACAUUACCCUGUUGGAAAGUCUAAAUUUCAAAAAGUCUUCCCAUCCAAUUGACACUUGACAACAAUACAAGUGUCAAAGAACAUGUCGAAAAUCAAUGUACAAAUAGCAAAUUUCAAUCGGUAAGGACCUUGCCACAUGUACACUAUGGUGUACACUUUAAUUUAAACUUUUCCACGUGACGUAACCCUGCUGAACAAUUUAAAUUUUAAACAGUUUUCCCACACAAUUGACACUUGACACUUGACAACAAUGCAAGUGUCGAACAACGUUUCAGAAAUUAGUGUACAAAUAGCAAAGUUCAAUUGGUAAGGACCUUGCGACAUGUACAUUAUGGUGUACACUUUAGUUUACACUUUGCCACGUGACAUUAUCCUGUUGGAUAGUUUAAAUUUGAAAUCGUUUUACAAUCCAAUUGGCACGUGACAACGAUGUAGGUAUCAACAAACGUGUCAAAAAUCAGUGUACAAGUAGCAAAGAUUAAUCGAUAAGAACCUCGCUAAAUGUAUACUAGGGUUGUACACUUUAAUUUACACUUUGCCACGUGACAUUACCCUGUUGGACAGUUUAAAUUUCAAACAGUUUUUCACUCCAAUUGACACUUGACAACAAUGCAAGUGUCAAACAACGUAUCAAAAACCAGUGUACAAAUAGCAAAGUUCAAUCGGUAAAGACAUUGCUACAUGUACACUAUGGAAUACACUUUAGUUUACACUUUCCCACGUGACAUUACCCUGUUGGACAAUUUAAAUUUCAAACAAUUUUUCCAUCCAAUUGACACUUUACAAAUAGCAAAGUUCAAUCGAUAUGAACCAUGCUACAGGUACACUAUGGUGUACACUUUAGUUUACACUUUGCCACGUGACGUUUCCAUGUUGGACAGUUUAAAUUUCAAACAGUUUUUCCAUCCAAUUGACACUUCACAACCAUUCAAGUGUUAAACAACGUGUCAAAAAUUAGUGUACAAAUAGCAAUGUUAAAUCAGUAAGGACCUUCCUACAUGGACACUAUGGUGUAUACUUUAGUUUACACUUUGCGACGUGACAUUACCCUCUUGGACAGUUUAAAUUUCAAACAGCUUUCCCAUUCGAUUGACCCUUGACGACAACACAAGUGUCAAAUAAUGAGUCCAAAAUCAGUGUACAAACAGCAAAGUUCAAUCGGUAAGGAACUUGCCACAUGUACACUAUGGUGUACACUAUAGUUUACACUUUGCCACGUGACAUUAUCCUGUUGGACAGUCUAAAUUUCAAAAAGUCUUCCCAUCCAAUUGACACUUGACAACAAUGCAAGUGUCAAACAACGUGUCGAAAAUCAAUGUACAAAUAGCAAAUUUCAAUCGGUAAGGACCUUGCCACAUGUACACUAUGGUGUACACUUUAGUUUACACUUUUCCACGUGACGUAACCCUAUUGCACAAUUCAAAUUUUAAACAGUUUUCCCACCCAAUUGACACAGGACAACAAUGCAAGUGUCGAACAACGUUUCAGAAAUCAUUGUACAAAUAGCAAAGUUCAAUUGGUAAGGACCUUGCUACAUGUACAUUACGGUGUACACUGCAGUUUACACUUUGCCACGUGACAUUACCCUGUUGAAUAGUUUAAAUUUGAAAUAGUUUUACAAUCCAAUUGACACGUGACAAUGAUGUAGGUAUCAAUAAACGUGUCAAAAAUUAGUGUACAAAUAGCAAAGAUUAAUUGACAAGAACCUCGCUAAAUGUACACUAUGGUGUACGUUUUAAUUUACACUUUGCCACGUGACAUUACCCUAUUGGACAGUUUAAAUUUCAAACAGUUUUUCCCUCCAAUUGACACUUGACAACAAUGCAAGUGUCAAACAACGUGUCAAAAAUCAGUGUACAAGUAGCAAAGUUCAAUCGAUAAAGACUUUGCUACAUGUACACAAUGGCAUACACUUUAGUUUACACUUUGCAAUGUAAAAUUACCCUGUUGGACAGUUUGAAUUUCAAAUUGUUUUCCCAUCCAAUUGACACUUGGCAAGAAUGCAAGUAUCAAAAAUCAGUGCACAAAGACCAAAGUUCAAUAGGUAAGGACCUUGCUAUAUGUUCACUAUGGUGUACACUUUAGUUUACUCUUUUCCAUGUGACUUUACCCUAUUGGACAGUAUAAAUUUCAAAAAGUUUUUCCAUCCAAUUGACACUUGACAACAAUGCUAGUGUCAAACAAUGUGUCAAAAAUCAAUGUACAAAUAGUAAAGUUCAAUCAGUCUGAACCUUGCCAUAUGUACACUAUAGCAUACACACUUUAGUUUACACUUUGCCACGUGACAUUACCCUGCUGGACAGUUUAAAUUUCAAACAAUUUUUUUUAUCAAAUUGACACUUGACAACAAUGCAAGUGUCAAAUAAUGUGUCAAAAAUUAGUGUACAAAUAGCAAAGUUCAAUCAGUAAGGACCUUGCUACACGUACACUACGGAGUACACUUUAAUUUACACUUUGCCUCGUGACAUUACCCUGUUGGACAGUUUAAAUUUCAAAUAGUUUUCCCAUCCAAUUAACACUUGACAACAAUGCAAGUGUCAAAAAAUGUAUCAAAAAUCAGUUUGCAAAUAGCAAUGUUCAAUCGGUAUGAACCAUGCUACAGGUACACUAUAGUGUACAGUUUAGUUUACACUUUGCCACGUGACAUUACCCUGUUGGACAGUUUAAAUUUCAAACAGUUUUCCCAUCCAAUUGACAAUUGACAACAAUGCAAGUGUUAAACAACGUGUUAAAAAUCAGUGUGUAAAUUGUAAAGUUCAAUUGGCAAGAACCUUACUAUAUCUACACGAUGGUGUACAUACUUUAGUUUACAGUUUGCCAGAUGACAUUACCCUGCUAGACAAUUAAAUUUCAAACAACUUUUCCAUCAAAUUGACACUUGACAACAAUGCAAGUGUCAAACAACGUGUCAAAAAUCAGUUCACAAAUAGCAAAGUUCAAUCGGUAAGGUCCUUGCUACAUGUACGCUAUGGUGUGCACUUCAGUUUACACUUUGCCACGUGACAUUACCCGGCUGGACAGUUUAAAUUUCAAAUAAUUUUCCCAUCCAAUUGACACUUGGUAACAAUACAAUUGCCAAACUUCGUGUCAAAAACCAGUGUACAAAUAGAAAAGUUCAAUCGGUAAGGACCUUGUUACAUGUGCACUAUGGUGUACACUUUAGUUUACUCUUUUCCACGUGACUUUACCCUAUUGGAUAGUUUAAAUUUCAAAAAGUUUUCGCAUCCAAUUGACAUUUGACAACAAUGCUAGUGUCAAACAAUGUGUCAAAAAUCACUAUACAAAUAGCAAAGUUCAAUCGGUCUGAACCAUGCUAUAUGUACACUAUUGUAUACACACUUUACUUUACACUUUUCCACGUGACAUUACCCUUCUUGACAGUUUAAAUUUCAAACAAUUUUUCUAUCAAAUUGACACAUGAGAAAAUGCAAGUGUUAAAUAACGUGUCAAAAAUCAGUGUACAAAUAGCAAAGUUCAAUCGGUAAGGACCUUGCUACAUGUACACUACGGUGUACACUUUAGUUUACACUUUGCCUCGUAACAUUACCCUAUUGGACAGUUUAAAUUUCAAACAGUUUUCUCGUCCAAUUGACACUUGACAACAAUUCAAGUGUCAAAUAAUAUAUCAAAACUCAGUUUACAAAUAGCAAAGUUCAAUCGGUAUGAACCAUGCUACAGGUACACUAUGGUGUACAGUUUAGUUUACACUUUGCCUCGUAACAUUACCCUAUUGGAUAGUUUAAAUUUCAAACAGUUUUCUCAUCCAAUUGACACUUGACAACAAUUCAAGUGUCAAACAGUGUAUCAAAAAUUAGUUUGCAAAUAGCAAAGUUCAAUCGGUAUGAACCAUGCUACAGGUACACUAUGGUGUACAGUUUAGUUUACACUUUGCCACGUGACAUUACCCUGUUGGACAGUUUAAAUUUCAAACAGUUUUCCCAUCCAAUUGACAAUUGACAACAAUGCAAGUGUUAAACAACGUGUCAAAAACUAGUGUAUAAGUUGCAACGUUCAAUUCGCGAGAACCUUACUAUAUGUAUACGAUUGUGUACAUACUUUAGUUUACACUUUGCCAGAUGACAUUACCCUGCCAGAGAAUAAAAUUUCGAACAGUUUUUCCAUCAAAUUGACACUUGACAACAAUGCAAGUGUCAAACAACGUGUCAAAAAUUAGUUCACAAAUAGCAAAGUUCAAUCGGUAAGGACCUUGCUACAUGUACGCUAUGGUGUACACUUCAGUUUACACUUUGCCACGUGACAUUACCAUGCUGGACAGUUUAAAUUUCAAAUAAUUUUCCCAUCCAAUUGACACUUGGUAACAAUGCAAGUGUCAAACUUCGUGUCAAAAAUCAGUGUACAAAUGGAAAAUUUCAAUCGGUAAGGACCUUGCUACGUGUGCAUUAUGGUGGACACUUUAGUUUACUCUUCUCGACGUGACUUUACCCUAUUGGAUAGUUUAAAUUUCAAAAAAUUUUCCCAUCCAAUUGGUACUGGACAACAAUGCUGGUGUCAAACAACGUGUCAAAAAUCAAUGUACAAAUAGCAAAGUUCAAUCGGUCUGAACCUUGCUAUAUGUACACUAUGAUAUACACACUUUAGUCUACACUUUGCCACGUGACAUUACCCUUCUGGACAGUUUAAAUUUCAAACAAUUUUUCUAUCAAAUUGACACAUGACAAAAUGCAAGUGUUAAAUAACGUGCCAAAAAUCAGUGAACAAAUAGCAAAGUUCAAUCGGUAAGGACCUUGCCACACGUACACUACGGAGUACACUUUAGUUUACACUUUGCCUCAUAACAUUACUCUAUUAGACAGUUUAAAUUUCAAACAGUUUUCUCAUCCAAUUGACACUUGACAACAAUGCAAGUGUCAAACAAUGUAUCAAAAAUCAGUUUACAAAUAGCAAAAUUCAAUCGGUAUGAACCACGCUACAGGUACACUAUGGUGUACAGUUUAGUUUACACUUUGCCACGUGACAUUACCCUGUUGGACAGUUUAGAUUUCAAACAGUUUUUCCAUCCAAUUGAUAGUUGACAACAAUGCAAGUGUUAAACAACGUGUCAAAAACCAGUGUACAAAUCGCAACGUUCAAUUCGCGAGAACCUUACUAUAUGGACAUGAUGGUAUACAUACUAUAGUUUACACUUUGCCAUAUGACAUUACCCUGCCAGACAAUUAAAUUUCAAACAAUUUUUCCAUCAAAUUGACACUUAACAACAAUACAAGCGUUAAACAACGUGUCAAAAAUCAGUGCACAAAUAGCAAAGUUCAAUUGGUAAGGACCUUGCAACAUGUACACUAUGGUGUACACUUUAGUUUACACUUUGCCACGUGACAUUACCCUCACAUGACAUUACCUUGCCGGAUAGUUUAAAUUUCAAACAGUUUUGUCCAUCCAAUUGACACUUGACAACAAUGCAAGUGUCAAACAAUGUGUCAAAACUCAGUGUACAAAUAGCAAAGUUCAAUCGGUAAGGACCUUGCUACAUGAACACUAUGGUGUACACUUUAGUUUACACGUUCCCACGUAACAUUGCCCUGUUGGACAGUUUAAAUUUCAAACAGCUUUACCGUCCGAUUGACACUUGACAACAAUGCGAGUGUCAAACAACGUGUCAAAAAUCAAUGUACAAACAGCAAAGUUCAGUCGGUAAGGAACUUGUCACAUGUACACUAUGGUAUACACUAUAGUUUACACUUUGCCACAUGACAUUACCCUGUUGAACAGCUUAAAUUUUAAAAAGUUUUCCCAUCCAAUUGACACUUGACAACAAUGCAGGAAUCAAACAACGUGUCGAAAAUCAACGCACAAAUAGCAAAUUUCAAUCAGUAAGGACCUUGCCACAUGUACACUAUGGUGAACACUUUAGUUUACACUUUGCCACAAGACAUUACCCUGCUGGACAGUUUAAAUUUUAGAUAGCUUUUCCACCCAAUUGACACUUGACCACAAUGCAAAUGUCGAACAACGAGUCAAAAAUCAGUGUACAAAUAGCAAAGUUCAAUUGGUAAGAACCUUGCUAAAUGUACACUUUGAUGUACACACUUUAGUUUAUACUUUGCCACGUGACAUUACCCUGGUGGACAGUUUAAUUUUAAAACAAUUUUUCUAUCAAAUUGACACUUGACAACAAUGCAAGUGUCAAACAAUGUGUCAAAAAUCAAUGUACAAAUAACAAAGUUCAAUCAGUAAGGACCUUGCUACACGUACAUUAUGGUGUACACUUUAGUUUACACUUUGCCUUGUGACAUUACCCUGUUGGACAGUUUAAAUUCCAAAUAGUUUUCCCAUCCAAUUGACACUUAAAAACAAUGCAAGUGUCAAACAAUGUGUCAAAAAUCAAUUUACAAGUCACAAAGUUCAAUCGGUAUGAACAAUGCUACAGGUACAUUAUGGUAUAUAUUUUAGUUUACUCUUCGCCACGCAGUUUAAAUUUGAAAUAGUUUUCCCAUCUAAUUGACAGUUGACAACAAUGCAAGUGUUAAACAACGUGUUAAAAAUCAGUGUGUAAAUUGUAAAGUUCAAUUGGCAAGAACCUUACUAUAUCUACACGAUGGUGUACAUACUUUAGUUUACAGUUUGCCAGAUGACAUUACCCUGCUAGACAAUUAAAUUUCAAACAACUUUUCCAUCAAAUUGACACUUGACUACAAUGCAAAGGUCAAACAAUGUGUCAAAAUUCAAUACACAAAUAGCAAAGUUCAAUUGGUAAGAACCUUGGUACAUGUACACUAUGGUGUAUACUUCAGUUUACACUUUAUCAUGUGACAUUAUCCUACUGUACAGUUUAAAUUUCAAACAGUUUUCCCAUCCAAUUGACACUUGGUAACAAUGCAAAUGUCAAACUACGUGUCAAAAAUCAGUAUACAAAUGGCAAAGUUGAAUCUGUAAGGACCUUGAUACAUGGACACUAUGGUGUACACUUUAGUUUACACUUUGCCAUAUGACAUUACCCUGUUGGGUAGUUUAAACUUCAAACAGUUUUCACGUUCGAUUGACCAUUGACAACAAUGUGAGUGUCAAACAAUGUGUCUAAAAUUAGUGUACAAAUAGCAAAAUUCAAUCGGUAAGGAACUUGCCACAUGUACACUAUGGUGUACACUAGAGUUUACAGUUUCCCACGUGACAUUACCCUGUUGCAUAGUUUAAAUUUCAAAAAGUCUUCCCAUCCAAGACAACAAUGCAAGUGUCAAACAACGUGUCAAAAAUCAUUGUACAAAUAGCAAAUCUCGAUCGGUAAGGACCUUGUCACAUGUACACUAUGGUGUACACUUUAGUUUACAAUUUGCCACGUGACGUAACCCUGUUGCAUACUUUAAAUUUUAAACAGUUUUCCCACCCAAUUGAUACUUGACAACAAUGCAAGUAUGGAACAACGUGUAAAAAAUCAGUGUACAAAUAGCAAAGUUCAAUUGGUAAGGACCUUGCUACAUGUACAUUAUGGUGUACACUUUAGUUUACACUAUGUCACGUGACAUUACCAUGUUGGACAGUUUAAAUUUAAAAUAGUUUUACAAUCCAAUUGACACGUGACAAUGAUGUAGGUAUCAAUCAACGUGUCAAAAAUCAGUGUACAAAUAGCAAAGAUUAAUCGGUAAGAACCUUGCUAAAUGUACACUAUAGUGUACACUUUAAUUUACACUUUGCCACAUGACAUUACCCUACUGGACAGUUUAAUUCUAAAAUAAUUUUUCUAUCAAAUUGACACUUGAAAACAAUGCAAGUGUCAAACAAUGUGUCAAAAAUCACUGUACAAAUAGCAAAGUUCAAUCGGUAAGGACCUUGCUACACGUACACCACGGUGUACACUUUAAUUUACACUUUACUUUAUGACAUUACCCUGUUGGAUAGUUUAAAUUUCAAACAGUUUUCCCAUCUAAUUGACACUUGAAAACAAUGCAAGCGUCAAACAAUGUGUCAAAAAUCAGUUUACAAAUCGCAAAGUUCAAUCGGUUUGAACAAUGCUACAGGUACACUAUGGUGUACACUUUAGUUUACUCUUUGCUACGUGACAUUACCCUGUUGGACAGUUUAAAUUUGAAACAAUUUUCGCAUCCAAUUGAUAGUUGGCAACAAUGCAAGUGUUAAACAAUGUGUUAAAAAUCAGUGUAUAAAUUACGAAGUUGAAUUGGCAAUAACCUUACUAUAUGUACACGAUGGUGUACAUACUUUAGUUUACACUUUGCUAGAUGACAUUACCCUGCUAGACAAUUAAAUUUCAAACAAUUUUUCCAUCAAAUUGACACUUGACUACAAUGUAAGGGUCAAAAAACAUGUCAAAAAUCAGUACACAAAUAGCGAAGUUCAAUCGGUAAGGACCUUGCUACAUGUACACUAUGUGUAUACUUCAGUUUACACUUUGUCACGUGACAUUACCUUGCUGUACAGUUUAAAUUUCAAAUAGUUUUCCCAUCCAAUUGACAUUGGGAACAAUGCAAGUGUCAAUCUACGUGUCAAAAAUCAGUAUACAAAUCACAAAGUUGAAUCUGUAAGGACCUUGCUACAUGGACACUAUGGUGUACACUUUAGUUUACACUUUGCCACGUGACAUUACCCUAUUGGACAGUUUAAACUUCAAACAAUUUUCCCGUCCGAUUGACCAUUGACAACAACGCGAGUGUCAAACAAUGUGUCCAAAAUCAGUGUACAAACAGCAAAGUUCAAUCGGUAAGGAACUUGCCACAUGUACACUAUGGUGUACACUAUAGUUUACACUUUCCCACGUGACCUUACCCUGUUGCACAGUUUAAAUUUCAAAAAGUCUUCCCAUCCAAUUGACACUUGACAACAAUGCAAGUGUCAAACAACGUGUCGAAAAUCAGUGUACAGAUAGCAAAUUUCAAUCGGCAAGGACCUUGUCACAUGUACACUAUGGUGUACACUUUAGUUUACAAUUUGCCACACGACAUUACCAUGUUGGACAGUUUAAAUUUCAAAAAGCUUUACCGUCCUAUUGACAAUUGAUAACAACGUGAGUGUCAAACAACGUGUCAAAAAUCAAUAUACAAAUAACAAAGUUCAAUCGAAAAGAACCUUGCUUCAUGCACACUAUGGUGUACACUUUAGAUCACACUUUGCCAUGUGACAUUACCCUUUUGGACAGCUUAAAUUUCAAACAGUUUUCCCAUCCAAUUGACACUUGACAACAAUACUAGCGUCAAACAACGUGUCAAAAAUCAGUGAACAAAAAGCAAAGCUCAAUCAGUCUGAACCUUGCUAUCUGUACACUAUGGUGUACACACUUUAGUUUACACUUUGCCACGUGACAUUACCCUGCCGGAUAGUUUAAAUUUCAAAUAGUUUUUCCAUCCAAUUGACACUUGAUAACAACGCAAGUGUCAAACAAUGUGUCAAAAAUCAGUGUACAAAUAGCAAAGUUCAAUCGGUAAGGACCUUGCUACAUGUACACUAUGGUGUACACUUCAGUUUACACUUUGCCAUGGGACAUUACCCUACUGGACAGUUUAAAUUUCAAAUAGUUUUCCCAUCCAAUUGACACUUGGCAACAAUGCAUGUGUCAAACUACGUGUCAAAAAUCAGUGUACAAAUGGCAAAGUUCGGCCGGUAAAGACCUUGCUACAUGUACACUAUGGUGUAAACUUUAGUUUACUCUUUUCCAUGUGACUUUAUCCUAUUUGACAGUUUAAAUUUCAAAAAGUGUUUCCCAUCCAAUUGGCACUUGACAUUACCCUGUUGGACAGUGUAAAUUUCAUUCAGUUUUCCCAUCUAAUUGAUACUCGACAACAAUGCAAGUGUCAAACAACGUGUGAAAAAUCUGUGUACAAAAAGUAAAGUUCAAUUGGUAAGAACCUUGCUACAUGUAUACUUUAGUUUACAGUUUCGCACGUGACAUUACCCUGUUGGACAGUUUAAAUUUCAAACAAAUUUUUCGUCCGAUGGACACUUGACAACAAUGCAAGUGCCAAACAACAAGUUAAAAAACAGUUUACAAAUAGCAAAGUUCAAUCGGUAUGAACCACGCUACAAGUACACUAUGGUGCACACUUUAGUUUACACUUUGCCACGUGACGUUUUCAUGUAGGAAAGUUUAAAUUUCAAACAAUUUUUCCAUCCAAUUGACACUUAACAACAAUGCAAGUGUCAAACAAUGUGUUAAAAAUCAGUUUACCAAUAGCAAAGUUGAAUCGAUAUGAACCAUGCUACAAGUACACUAUGGUGUACACUUUAGUUUACACUUUGCCAUGUGACAUUACCCUGUUGGACAGUUUAAAUUUCAAACAAUUUUCCAAUCAAAUUGACAGUUGACAACAAUGCAAGUGUUAAACUACGUGUCAAAACCAGUGUAUAAAUUACAACGCUCAAUUCGCAAGAACCUUACUAUAUGUACACGAUGGUGUACACACUUUAGUUUACACUUUGCCAGAUGACUUUACCCUGCUAGACAAUUAAAUUUCAAACAAUUUUUCCAUCAAAUUGACACUUGACAACUAUGCAAGUGCCAAACAACGUGUCAAAAAUUAGUGCACAAAUAGCAAAGUUCAAUCGAUAAGGAACUUCCUACAUGUACACUUCAGUUUACACUUUGCCACGUGACAUUACCCUGUUGGACAGUUUAAAUUUCAAACAGUUUUUCCAUCCAAUUGACACUUGGCCACAAUGCAAAUGUCAAACUACGUGCCAAAAAUUAGUGUACAAAUAGCAAAGUUCAAUCGUUAAGGACCUUGUUACAUGUACCCUAUGGUGUACACUUUAGUUUACUCUUUUCCACGUGACUUUACCCUAUUGGAUAGUUUAAAUUUCAAAAAAAUUUCCCAUCCAAUUGACACUUGACAACAAUGCUAGUGUCAAACAUCGUGUCAAAAAUCAGUGUACAAAAAGCAAAGUUCAAUUGGUCUGAACCUUGCUAUAUGUACACUAUGGUGUACACACUUUAGUUUACACUUUGCCACGUGACAUUACCCUACUGGAUAGUUUAAAUUUCAAACAGUUUUUCCAUCCAAUUGACACUUGACAACAAUUUAAGUGUCAAACACCAUGUCAAAAAAUAGUGUACCAAUACCAAAGUUCAAUCGGAAAGAACCUUGAGACAUGUACACUAUGGUGUAUACUUUAGUUUAUACUUAGCCACGUGACAUUACCCUGUUGGACAGUUUGAAUUUCAAAAAGAUUUUCCAUCAAAUUGACACUUGAAACCAAUGUAUGUGUUAAACAACGUGCCGAAAAUCUGUGUACAAAUGGCAAGGAUCAAUCAGUAAGAGCCUUGCUACGUGUACACUAUGGGGUAUACUGUAGUUUACACUUUGCCACGUGACAUUACCAUGUUGGACUGUUUAAAUUUCAAAUAGUUUUCCCAUCCAAUUGACACUUGACAUUACCCUGUUGGACAAUGUAAAUUUCAUACAGUUUUCCCAUCUAACUAAUACUCGACAACAAUGUAUGUGUCAAACAACAUGUGAAAAAUCUGUGUACAAAUAGCAAAGUUUAAUCGGUAAGAACCUUGCUACGUGUACACUAUGGUGUACAAUUUAGUUUAGAGUUUGCCAUGUGACAUUACCCUGUUGGACAGUUUAAAUUUCAAACAAAUAUCCCAUCCAAUUGACACUUGACAGUGAUGCAAGUGCCAAACAAAUUGUUAAAAAUCAGUUUACAAAUAGCAAAGUUCAAUCGGUAUGAACCAUGCUACAAGUACACUAUAGUGUACACUUUAGUUUACACUUUGCCACGUGAUGGUUUGAUGUUGGAUAGUUUAAAUUUCAAACAAUUUUUCCAUCCAAUUGACACUUCACAACAAUGCAAGUGUCAAACAACGUGUCAAAAAUCAGUGUACAAAUAGCAAAAUUGAAGUGGUAAGGACCUUGUUACAUGGACAUAAUGGUGCACACUUUAUUUUACACUUUGCCACGUGACAUUACCCUAUUGGACAUUUUAAAUUUCAAAUUGUUUUACCAUCCAAUUAACGCUUGACAACAACGCAAGUGUUAAAAAACAUGUCAAAAAUCGGUGUACAAAUACCAAAAUUCAAUCGGUAAAACUUUGCUACAUGUAAAUUAUGGUGUUCACACUUUAGUUUACACUAUACUAUGUAACACUAUCCUAUUGGGAAGUUUAAAUUUCAAACAAUUUUCCCAUCCAAUUAACACUUGACAACAAUGUAAGCGUCAAACAAUGCAUCAAAAAUCAGUGUACAAAUAGCAAAGUUCAAUCGGUAAGAACCUUGUUACGUGUACACUUUAGUUUAUAGGUUGCCACGUGACAUUACCCUGUUGGAUAGUUUAAAUUUCAAACAAAUUUUCCAUCCAAUUGACACUUGACAGCAAUGCAAAUGCCAAACAAACUGUCAAAAAUCAAUUUACAAGUAGCAAAGUUCAAUCAAUAUGAACCAUGCUAUAAGUACACUAUGGUGUACACUUUAGUUUACACUUUACCACGUGAUGUUUUGAUGUUGGACAGUUUAAAUUUCAAACAGUUUUUCCAUCCAAUUGACACUUCACAACAAUGCAAGUGUCAAACAACAUGUCAAAAAUCAGUGUACAAAUAGCAAAAUUGAAUUGCUAAGGACCUUGCUACAUGGACACAAUGGUGUACACUUUAUUUUACACUUUGCCACGUGACAUUACCCUGUUGGACAGUUUAAAUUUUAAAUUGUUUUACCAUCCAAUUAACGCUUGACAACAACGCGAGUGUUAAACAACGUGUCAAAAAUCGGUGUACAAAUACCAAAAUUCAAUUGGUAAAACCUUGCUACAUGUAAAUUAUGGUGUUCACACUUUAGUUUACACUAUACCAUGUGACACUAUCAUGUUCGGAAGUUUAAAUUUCAAACAGUUUUCCCAUGCAAUUAACACUUGACAACAAUGCAAGCGUCAAACAAUGUAUCAAAAAUCAGUGUGAAAAUAGCAAAGUUCAAUUGGUAAGAACCUUGCUACGUGUACACUAUGGUGUACACUUUAGUUUAUAGUUUGCCACGUGACAUUACCCUGUUGGACAGUUUAAAUUUCAAACAAAUUUCCCAUCCAAUUGACACUUGAUAGCGAUGCUAGUGCCAAACAAAUUGUCAAAAAUCAGUUUACAAAUGGCAAAGUUCAAUCGGUAUGAACCAUGCUACAAGUACACUAUGGUGUACACUUUAGUUUACACUUUGCCACGUGACGUUUUGAUGUUGGACAAUUUAAAUUUCGAACAGUUUUUCCAUCAAAUUGACACUUCACAACAAUGCAAGUGUCAAACAACGUGUCAAAAAUCAGUGUACAAAUAGCAAAAUUGAAUCGGUAAGGACCUUGCUACAUGGACAUAAUGGUGCACACUUUAUUUUACACUUUGCCACGUGACAUUACCCUGUUGGACAGUUUAAAUUUCAAAUUGUUUUACCAUCCAAUUAAUGCUUGACAACAACGCGAGUGUUAAACAACGUGUCAAAAAUCAGUGUACAAAUAACAAAAUUCAAUCAGUAAAACCUUACUACAUGUAAAUUAUGGUGUUCACACUUUAGUUUACACUAUACCAUGUGACACUAUCCUGUUGGGAAGUUUAAAUUUUAAACAGUUUUACCAUCCAACUGACACUUGACAACAAUGCAAGCGUCAAACAAUGUAUCGAAAAUCAAUGUACAAAUAGCAAAGUUUAAUCGGUAUGAACCAUGCCACAUGUACACUAUGGUGGUGCACUUUAAUUUUCACUUGGCCACGUGACAUUACAAUGUUGCACAGUUUAAAUUUCAAAAAGCUUUUCCAUCAAAUUGACACGUGACAACAAUGCAAGGUGUUAAACAACGUGUUGAAAUUCUAUGUACAAAUGGCAAGGAUCAAUCAAUAAGAACCUUGCUAUAUGUACACUAUGGGGUACACUUUAGUUUACACUUUCCCACGUGACAUUACUCUAUUGGACUGUUUAAAUUUUAAAUAGUUUUCCCAUCUAAUUGACACUUGACAACAAUGCAAGUGUCAAACAACGUGUCAAGAAUUAGUGCACAAAUACCAAAAUUCAAUCGGAAAGAACCUUGAGACAUGUACACUAUGGUGUACACUUUAGUUUAUACUUAGCCACGUGACAUUACCCUGUUGGACAGUUUGAAUUUCAAAAAGUUUUUCCAUCUAAUUGACACUUGAAUCCAAUGUAGUUGUCAAACAAAGUGUGGAAAAUUAGUGCACAAAUGGCAAAGUUCAAUUAGUAAGAACAUUGCUACAUGUACACUAUGGGGUACACUUUAGUUUACACUUUGCCACGUGACAUUACCUUGUUGGACUGUUUAAAUUUCAAAUAUUUUUUCCAUCCAAUUGACACUCGACAACAAUUUAAGUGUCAAACACCGCAUCAAAAAUUAGUGUACAAAUACCAAAGUUCAAUCUGAAAGAACCUUGAGACAUGUACACUAUGGUGUACACUUUAGUUUAUACUUAGCCACAUGACAUUACCCUGUUGGACAGUUUGAAUUUCAAAAAGUUUUUCCAUCUAAUUGACACUUCAAACCAAUGUAUGUGUCAAACAACGUGUCAAAAAUCUGUAUACAAAUGGCAAGGAUCAAUUAGUAAGAGCCUUGCUACAUUUACACUAUGGGGUACACUUUAAUUUACACUUUGCCACGUGACAUUACCCUAUUGGACUGUUUAAAUUUCAAAUAUUUUUCCCAUCCAAUUGACACUUGACCACAAUGCAAGUGUCAAACAACGUGUCAAAAAUCAGUGUACGAAUACCAAAGUUCAAACGGAAAGAACCUUGAGACAUGUACACUAUGGUGUACACUUUAGUUUAUACUUAGCCAUGUGACAUUACCCUAUUCGACAGUUUGAAUUUCAAAAUGUUUUUCAAUCUAAUUGACACUUGAAGUCGAUGUAGGUGUCAAACAAUGUGUGGAAAAUUAGAGUACAAAUGGCAAAGUUCAAUUAGUAAGAACCUUGCUACAUGUACACUAUGGGGUACAUUUAGUUUACACUUUGCCACGUGACAUUACCCUGUUGGACUGUUUAAAUUUCAAACGGUUUUCCCAUCCAAUUGACACUUGACGACAAUGUAAAUGUCAAACACCGUGUCAAAAAUCAGUAUACAAAUAGCAAAGUUCAAUCGGUAAGGAUCUUACACUUUUGUUUACGCUUUCUCAUGAGACAUUACCCUGUUGCACAGUUUAAAUUUAAAAUAUUUUUCCCAUCCGAUUUACACUUGACAACAAUGCAAGUGUCAAAGAACAUGUCCAAAAUUAGUUUACUAAUAGCAAAGUUCAAUCGUUAAGGACCUUGCUACAUGUACACUAUAGUGUACACUUUAGUUUACACUUUGCCACGUGACAUUACCCGGUUGGACAGUUUAAAUUACAAACAAUUUUUCCAUCCAAUUGACACUUGACAACAAUGCAAGUGUCAAACAACGUGUCAAAAAUCAGUGUAAAAAUAGCAAAGUUCAAUUGGUAAGCACCUUACUACAUGGACACUAUGCUGUACACUUUAGUUUACACUUUAACACGUGACAUUACCCUGUUGGAAGUUAAAAUUUCAAACAAUUUUUCCAUCCAGUUGACACUUGACAACAAUGCAAUUGUAAAAAAUAGUGUUAAAAAUCAAUGUACAAAUAGCAAAGUUUAAUCGAUGUGAACCAUGCUACAUGUACACUAUGGUGUGCACCUUAACUUACACUUUGUCACGUGACAUUACCCUGUUGGACAGUUUGAGUUUCAAAAAGUUCUCCCAUCCAAUUGGCACUUGACAACAACGCAAGUGUCGAACAACGUGUCAAAAAUCAGUGUACAAAUAGCAAAGUUCAAUUGGUAAGCACCUUGCUACAUGGACACUAUGAAGUACACAUUAGUUUACACUUUGCCACGUGACGUUACCCUGUUGGACAGUUUAAAUUUCGAACAGUUAUCUUGUCCUAUUAACACUUGACAACAAUGCGGGUGUCAAACAACAUGGCAAAAUUCAGUGUGCAAAUAUCAAAGUUCAAUCGGUAAGAACCUUACUACACGUACACUAUGGUGUACACUUUAGAUUACACUUUGCCACGUGACAUUACCUUGUUGGACAGCUUAAUUUUCAAAUAAUUUUCCCAUCCAAUUGAUACUUGACAACAAUACCUGUGUCAAACAAUGUGUCAAAAAUCAGUGUACAAAUAGCAAAGUUCAAUCGGCAAGGACCUUGCUACAUAAACUAUGGUGUACACUUUAGUUUACACUUUGCCACGUAACAUUACUUAGCUGGACAGUUUAAAUUUUAAAUAGUUUUCCCAUCCAGUUGUCACUUGACAACAAUAUAAGUGUCAAACACGGUGUCAAAAAUUAGUGCACAAAUAGCAAAGUUCAAUCGGUUAGGAUCUUGCUACAUGUAAACAGUUGUGUACACUUUAGUUUACGCUUUACCACGUGACAUUUCCCCGUUGGAUAGUUUAAAUUUCAAACAGUUUUCCCAUCCAAUUUACACUUGACAACAAUGCAAGUGUCAAAGAACGUGUUAAAAAUCAGUGUACAAAUAGCAAAGUUCAAUCGGUAAGGACCUUGCUACAUGUACAUAUGGUGUACACUUUAGUUUACACUUUGCCACGUAACGUUACCCGGUUGGACAAUUUAAAUUUCAAACAGUUUUUCAAUCCAAUUGACAUUUGACAACAAUGCAAGUGUCAAACAACGUAUAAAAAAUCAAAGUACAAAUAGCAAAGUUCAAUAGGUAAGAACCUUGCUACAUGUACACUAUGAUGUUUACACUUUACUUUACACUUUGCCACGUGACAUUACCCUAUUGUACAAUUUAAAUUUCAAACAGUUUUCUCAUUCAAUUGACACUUGAGAAGAAUGGAACUGUCAAACAACGUGUCAAAAAUCAGUGAACAAAUAUCAAAGUUUAAACGGUGUGUACACUUUAAUUAACACUUUGCCACGUGACAUUACCCUAUUGGAUAGUUUAAAUUUCAAAAAAAAUUUCCAUCUAUUUGACAUGUGACAACAAUGCAGGUGUCAAACAACAUGUCGAAAAUCAGUGUACAAAUGGCAAAGAUCGAUCAGUAUGAACUUUGCUACUAGUACACUAUGGGGUACACUUUAGUUUACACUUUGCCACGUGACAUUACACUGUUGGACAGUUUAAAUUUCAAAUAGUUUUCUUAUUCAAUUGGCACUUGACAACAAUGCAAGUGUCAAACAACGUGUCAAAAAUCAGUGUACAAAUAGCAAAGUUCAAUCAGCAAGAACGUUGCUACAUGUACAUUAUGGUGUACACUUUGCCACGUGACAUUUUCAUGUUGGACAUUUAAAAUUUCAAACAGUUUUUCCAUCCAAUUCACACUUCACAACAAUGCAAUUGUCAAACAACGUGUCAAAAAUCAGUGUACAAUUAGCAAAGUUCAAUUGGUAAGGACCUUGCUACAUGGACACUAUGCUGUACACUUUAGUUUACAAUUUGCCACGUGACAUUACUCUAUUGGAUAGUUUAAAUUUCAAAAAGUUUUCCCGUCCUAUUGACAAUUGACAACGACGCGAGUGUCAAACAAUGUGUCAAAAAUCAAUAUACAAAUAACAAAGUUCAAUCGGAAAGAACCUUACUUCAUGUACACUAUGGUGUACACUUUAGAUCACACUUUGCCAUGUGACAUUACCCUUUUGGACGGCUUAAAUUUCAAACAGUUUUCCCAUUCAAUUGACACUUGACAACAAUGCUUGUGUCGAACAACGUGUCAAAAAUCAGUGUACAAAUAGUAAAGUUCAAUCGGUAAGGACCUUACUACAUAAACUAUGGUGUACACAUUAGUUUACACUUUGUCACGUGACACUACCCAGCUGGACAGUUUAAAUUUCAAACAGUUUUUCAAUCCAAUUGACACUAAACAACAUGUAAGUGUCGAACGCCGUGUCAAAAAUCAGUGUGCAAAUAGCAAAGUUCUAUCGGUAAGGAUCUUACUACAUGUACACUAUGGUGCACACUUUAGUUUACGCUUGGAGACAUGACAUUACCCUAUUGGAAAGUUUAAAUUUCAAAUGGUUUUUCCGUGAAAUUUACACUUGACAACAAUGCAAGUGUCAAAGAACGUGUCAAAAAUCAGUGUACAAUUAGAAAAGUUCAAUCGUUAAGGACCUUGCUACAUGUACACUAUGGUAUACACUUUAGUUUUCUCUUUGUCACAUGAUAUUACCCUGUUGGACUGUUUAAAUUUCAAAUAGUUUUUCCAUCCAAUUGACACUUGACAACAAUGCAAGUGUUAAACAAUGUGUCGAAAAUCAAUGCACAAAUAGCAAAGAUCAAUCGGUAAGGACCUUGCUACAUGUACACUAUGGUGUACACUAUAGUUUACUCUUUGCCAUGUGACAUUACCUGGUUGGACAGUUUAAAUAUCAAACAAUUUUCCAUCCAAUUGACACUUGGCAACAAUGCAAGUGUCAAACAACGUGUCAAAAAUUAGUGUACAAAUAGCAAAAUUUAAUCGGUAUGAACCAUAAUACAUGUACAUUAUGGUGUACACUUUAAUUUACACUUUCCCCCGUGACAUUACCCGUUGGACAGUUUAAAUUUCAAAAAGUUUUCCAUGUAAUUGACACGUGACAACAAUGUAGGUGUCAAACAACAUUUCGAAAAUUGGUGUACAAAUGGCAAAGAUCAAUCAGUAAGAACUUUGCUACUAGUACACUAUGGGAUGCACUUUAGUUUACACUUUACCAUGUGAUAUUGCCCUGUUGGACAGUUCAAAUUUCAAAUAGUUUUCCCAUCCAAUUGACAUUUGACAACAAUGCAAGUGUCAAACAACUUGUCAAAUAUCAGUGUACAAAUAUCAAAAUUCAAUCAGUAAGAACCUUACUGCUUCUACACUAUGGUGUACACUUUACCACAUGACAUUUCCGUGUUGGAUAGUUUAGAUUUAAAUCGAUUUUUCCGUCCAAUUGACACUUCACAACAAUGCAAGUGUCAAACAACGUGUCAAAAACCAGUGUACAAAUAGCGAAGUUCAAUCGGUAAGCACCUUGCCACAUGAACAGUAUGGUGUACACUUUAGUUUACACUUUGCCAAGUGACAUUACCCUAUUGGGCAGUUUAAAUUUCAAAUAUUUUUCCCAUCCAAUUGACACUUAACAACAAUGCAAGUGUCAAACAACUUGUCAAAAAUCACUGUUCAAGUAGCAAAAUUUAAUCGGUAUGAACAAUGUCACAUGUGCACUAUGGUGUAUACUCUAAUUUACACUUUGCCACGUGACAUUACCCGAUUGGACAGUUUAAAUUUCAAAAAGUUUUUCUAUCUAAUUGACACUUGAAGCCAAUGUAGGUGUCAAACAACGUGUCGAAAAUCUGUGUACAAAUGGUAAAGUUUAAUCAGUAAGAACCUUGCUACAGGUACACUAUGGGGUACACUUUAGUUUACAUAUUGCCACGAGACAUUACCCUGUAGGACUGUUUAAAUUUCAAAUUGUUUUCCCAUCCAACUCACACUUGACAACAAUGCAAGUGUCAAAUAACGUGUUGAAAAUCAGUGUACAAAUAGCAAAGUUCAAUUAGUAAGAACCUUGGUACAUGUACUCUAUAAUGUUCACUUUAUCACGUGACAUUUCCCUAUUGGAUAGUUUAAAUUUCAAAUAGUUUUUCCAUUGAAUUAACACUUCACAACAAUACGAGUGUCAAAUAACAUGUCAAAAACCAGUGCACAAAUAGCAAAGUUCAAUCGGAAAGGACCUUGCAGCAUGGACACUAUGGUGUACACUUUAGUUUACACUUUGCCAGGUGACAUUACCCUGUUGGACAGUUUAAAUUUUAAACAAUUUUCUCGUCCUGCUGACACUUGACAACGCGAGUGUCAAACAAUGUGUCAAAAAUCAGUGUGCAAAUAGCAAAGUUAAAUCGGUAAGAACCUUGCUACAUGAACACUAUGGUGUACACUUUAGAUUACACUUUGUCACGUGACAUUACCCUAUUGAACAGCUUAAAUUUCAAACGGUUUUCCCAUCUAAUUGACACUUGACAGCAAUGCAAGUGUCAAACAGCGUGUCAAAAACUAGUGUAUAAAUUGCAACGUUCAAUUCACAAGAACCUUACUAUAUGUACACGAUGGUGUACAUACUUUAGUUUACACUUUGCCAGAUGACAUUACCUUGCUAGACAAUUAAAUUUCAAACAAAUUUUCCAUCAAAUUGACACUUGACAACUAUGCAAGUGCCAAGCAACGUGUCAAAAAUUAGUGCACAAAUAGCAAAGUUCAAUCGGUAAGGACCUUGUCACAUGUACACUAUGGUUUACACUUUAGUUUACACUUUGCCACGUGAUAUAACCCUGUUGCACACUUAAAAUUUUAAACAGUUUUCCCACCCAAUUGACACUUGACAACAAUGCAAGUAUGGAACAACGUGUCAAAAACUAGUGCACAAAUAGCAAAGUUCAAUCGGAAAGGACCUUGCAGCAUGGACACUAUGGUGUACACUUUAGUUUACACUUUGCCAGGUGACAUUACCCUGUUGGACAGUUUAAAUUUCAAACAAUUUUCUCGUCCUACUGACACUUGACAACAACGUGAGUGUCAAAUAACGUGUCAAAAAUCAGUGUAAAAAUAGCAAAGUCCAAUCGAUAAGGACCUUGCUACAUGGACAUUAUGGUGUAUACUUUAGUUUACACUUUGCCACGUGACAUUACCCUCUUGGACAGUUUAAAUUUCAAAUAGUUUUCCCAUCCAAUUGACCAUUGACAACAAUGCAAGUGUUAAACAACGUAUCAAAAACUAGUGUAUAAAUUGCAAAGUUCAAUUACAAGAACCUUGCCAUAUGUACACGAUGGUGUACAUAUUUUAGUUUACACUUUGCCAGAUGACAUUACCCUGCUAGACAAUUAAAUUUCAAACAAUUUUUCCAUCAAAUUGACACUUGACAACUAUGCAAGUGCCAAACAACGUGUCAAAAAUUAGUGCACAAAUAGCAAAGUUCAAUCGGUAAGGACCUUGUCAUAUGUACACUAUGGUUGACACUUUAGUUUACACUUUGCCACGUGACAUGAACCUGUUGCACACUUUAAAUUUUAAACAGUUUUCCCACCCAUUUGACACUUGACAACAAUGCAAGUACGGAACAACGUGUAGAAAAUCAGUGUACAAAUAGCAAAGUUCAAUUGGUAAGGACCUUGCUACAUGUACAUUAUAAUGUACACUUUAGAUUACACUUUGCCACGUGACAUUACCCUGUUAGACAGCUUAAAUUUCAAAUGGUUUUCCCAUCUAAUUGACACUUGACAGUAAUGCAAGUGUCAAACAGCGUGUCAAAAAUCAGUGUAAAAAUAGCAAAGUUCAAUCGACAAGGACCUCGCUACAUGGACACUAUGGUGUACACUUUAGCUUAUGCUUUGCCACGUGACAUUACCCAGUGGGACAGUUUAAAUUUCAAAUACUUCUCCCAUCCAAUUGAAAAUUGAGUACAAUGCAAGUGUCAAACAACGUGUAAAAAACCAGUGUACAAAUAGCAAAGUUCAAUCGGUAAGGAUCUUGCUGCAUGCACACUAUAGUGUACACUUUAGUUUACGCUUUGCCACGUGACAUUAACCUGUUCGUCAGUUUAAAUUUCAAAUAGUUUUUCCAUCCAAUUUACACUUGACAACAAUGCAAGUGUCCAACAACGAGUCAAAAAUUAGUGUACAAAUAGUAAAGUUCAAUUUGUAAGGACCUUGCUACAUGUACACUAUGGUGUACACUUUAGUUUACACUUUGCCACAAGACAUUACCCUGCUGGACAAUUUAAAUUUCAAACAAUUUUUCCAUCCAAUUGAGACUUGACAACAAUGCAAGUGUCAAACAGCGGGUCAAAAAUCAGUGUACAAAUAGCAAAGUUCAAUCGGUAAGGACCUUGCUACAUGCACAAUAUGGUGUACACACUUUAGUUUACGCUUUGCCAUGUGACAUUACCCUACUGGACAGUUUAAAUUUCAAACAGUUUUUCCAUCUAAUUGACACUUGCCAACAAUACAAGUGUCAAACAACGAGUCAAAAAGCAGUGUACAAAUAGCAAAGUUCAAUCGGUAAGGACCUUGCUACAUGUACACUGUGGUGUACACUUUGGUUUAUACUUUGCCACGUGACAUUACCCUAUUGGAUAGUAUAAAUUUCAAAUAGCUUUCCCAUCCAAUUGACAAUUGACAAAAAUGCAAGUGUCAAACAACGUGUAAAAAAUAGGUGUACAAAUAGCAAAGUUCAAUCCGUAAGAACCUUUCUAAAUGUACACUAUGGUGUACACAGUUUAGUUUACACUUCGCCACGUGACAUUACCCUGUUGGACAGUAUAAAUUUCUAACUGUUUUCCCAUCCUAUUGACACUUGACAACAACGUGAGUGUCAAACAACAUGACAAAAAUCAGUGUUCAAAUAUCAAAGUUCAAUCGGUAAUAACCUUACUACAUGUAUACUAUAGUGUACACUUUAGAUUACACUUUGUCACGUGACAUUACCCUGUCGGAAAGCUUAAAUUUCAAAUAGUUUUCCCAUCCAAUUGACACUUGACAACAACGCCUAUGUCAAACAACGUGUCAAUAAUCAGUGUACAAAUAGCAAAGUUCGAUCGGUAAGGACCUUUCUACAUAAACUAUGGUGUACACUUUAGUUUAAACUUUGCCGCAUGACAUUACCCAGCUGGGCAAUUUAAAUUUUAAACAGCUUUCCCAUCCAAUUGACACUUGACAACAAUACAAGGGUCGAACAUCGUGUCAAAAAUCAGUAUACAAGUAGCAAAGUUCAAUCGGUAAGAAUCUUGCUACAUGUACACUAUGGAGUACACUUUAAUUUACGCUUUGCCACGUGACAUUACCCUGUUGGACAGUUUAAAUUUUAAAUUAUUUUCCCAUCCAAUAUACACUUGACAACAAUGCAAGUGUCAAAGACUGUGUCAAAAAUUAGUGUACAAAUAGCAAAGUUCAAUCGGUAAGGACCUUGCUGCAUGUUCACUAUGGUGUAUGCUUUAUUUUACACUUUGCCACGUGACAUUUCCCGGUUGGACAGUUUAAAUUUCAAACAGUUUUCCCAUCCAAUUGACACUUUACAAUAGUACAAGUAUCAAACAACGUGUCAAAAAUCAGUGUACACAUAGAAAGGUUCAAUCCGUAAGAACCUUACUAUAUGUGCACUAUGGUAUUCACACUUUAGUUUACACUUUGCCACGUGACAUUACCAUGUUGGACAGUUUAAAUUUCAAGCAGUUUUUCCAUCCAAUUGGCACUUGACACAAUGCAAGUGUUAAACAACGUGUCAAAAGUUAGCGUACAAAUAGCAAAGUUCAAUCUGUAUGAACCUUGCUACAUGUACACUGUGGUGUUCACACUUUAGUUUACACUUUGCCAUGUGACGUUACCCCGUUGGACAGUUUAAAUUUCAAACAGUUUUCCCUUCCAAUUGGCACUUGAUAACAAUGCACGUGUCAAACAAUGUGUCAAAAAUUAGUGCACAAAUAACAAAAUAUUAUCAGAAUGAACCAGCUACAUGUACACUAUGGUGUACAAUUUAAUUUACACUUUGCUACGUGACAUUACACUAUUGGACAGUUUAGAUUUCAAAAAGUUUUUCCAUCUAAUUGACACGUGACAACAAUGCAGGUGUCAAACAAUAUGUCGAAAAUCAGUUUACAAAUGGCAAAGAUCAAUCAGUAAUAACCUUGCUACUUGUACACUAUGGGGCACACUUUAGUUUACACUUUGCCAUGUGAAAUUACCUUGUUGGACAGUUUAAAUUUCAAUCAAUUUUUCCAUCCAAUUGACACUUGACAACAAUGUAAGUGUCAAACAACGUGUCAAAAAUCAGUGUAUGAAUAUCAAUGUUUAAUCGAUGUAAACCAUGCUACUUUAAUUUACACUUGCCACAUGACAUUACCUUGAUGGACAAUUUAAAUUUCAAAAUUUUUUUCCAUCUAAUUGACACUUGUAACCAAUGUAGGUGUCAAACAACGUGCCGAAAAUCAGUGCACAAAUGGUAAAAUUCAAUCAAUAAGAACCUUGCUACAUAUACACUAUGGGGUACACUUUAAUUUACACUCUGCCACGUGACAUUGCCCUAUUGGACUGUUUAAAUUUCAAACAGUUUUCCAAUCCAUCUGACACUCGACAACAAUGCAAGUGUCAAACAACGUGUCAAAAAUCAGUGUACAAAUAACAAAAUUCAAUCGGUAAGCACCUUGCUACAUGGACACUAUGGUGUACACUUUAGUUUACACUUUGCCACGUGACAUUUCCCUGUUCGACAGUUUAAAUUUUAGAUAGUUUUUCCAUCUAAUUUACACUCGACAACAUGCAAGUGUCCAACAACGAGUCAAAAAUUAGUGUACAAAUAGCAAAGUUCAGUCGGUAAGGACCUUGCUACAUGUACACUAUGGUGUACACUUUAGUUUACACUUUGCCACAAGACAUUACACUACUGGACAGUUUAAAUUAAAAAUAGUUUUUCCAUCCAAUUGAGACUUGAAAACAAUGCAAGUGUCAAAAGCGUGUCGAAAAUCAGUAUACAAAUAGCAAAGUUCAAUCGACAAGGACCUUGCUACCUGUACACUAUGGUGUACACACUUUAGUUUACACUUUGCCACGUGACAUUACCUUGCUGGACAAUUUAAAUUUCAAACAGUUUUUCUAUCUAAUUGACACUUGAUAACAUUGCAAGUGUCAAGCAACGAGUCAAAAAGCAAUGUACAAAUGGCGAAGUUCAAUCGGUAAGGACCUUGUUACAUGUACACUAUGGUGUACACUUUAGUAAAUACUUUGCCACGUCACAUUACCCUGUUGGACAGUAUAAAUUUCAAACAAUUUUCCCAUCAAAUUGACAACAAUGCAAGUGUCAAACAACGUGUGAAAAAUCAGUAUACGAAUAGCAAAGUUUAAUCGGUGUAAACCAUGCUACAUGUACACUAUGGUGUACACUUUAAUUUACACUCGCCACGUGACAUUACCGUAUUGGACAGUUUAAAUUUCAAAAAGUUUUUCUAUCCAAUUGACACUUAAAACCAAUGUAGGUGUCAAAUAACGUGUCAAAAAUUAGUGCACAAAUGGCAAAGUUCAAUCAGUAAGAACCUUGCUAUAUGUACACUAUGGGGUGCACUUCAGUUUACACAUUGCCACAUGACAUUUUCCUAUUGGACAGUUUAAAUUUCAAACUAUUUUCCCAUCUAAUUAACACUUGACACCAUUGCAAGUAUCAAACAAUGUGUCAAAAAUCAGUGUACAAAUAGCAAAGUUCAAUCUGUAAGCGUCUUGCUACAUGGACACUGUGGUGUACACUUUUGUUUACACUUUGCCACGUGACAUUACCCUGUUCGACAGUUUAAAUUUCAAACAGUUUUUCCAUCUAACUUACACUAGACAACAAUGCAAGUGUCCAACAAUCAGUCAAAAAUUAGUGUACAAAUGGCAAAGUUCAAUCGGUAAGGACCUUGCUUCAUGUACACUAUGGUGUACACUUUAGUUUACACUUUACCACAAGACAUUACCCUGCUGGACAGUUUAAAUUUCAAAUAGUUUUUCCAUCCAAUUGUGACUUGACAAUAAUGCAAGUGUCAAAAAUCAGUGUACAAAUAGUAAAGAUCAAUCGGUAAGGAGCUUGCUACAUGUACACUAUGGUGUUCACACUUUAGUUUACACUUUGCCACGUGAAAAUACCCUGCUGGACAGUUUAAAUAUCUAAUAGUUUUUCCAUCCAAUUGACACUUGAGAACAAUGCAAGUGCAAGCAAUGAGUCAAAAAGCAGUGUACAAAUAGCGAAGUUCAACUGGUAAGGACCUUGCCACAUGUACACUAUGGUGUAUACUUUAGUUUAUACUUUACCACGUGACAUUACCUUGUUGGACAGUAUAAAUUUCAAAUAGUUUUCCCAUUUAAUUGACAAUUGACUAAAAUGCAAGUGUCAAAGAACGUGUCAAAAAUCAAUGUACAAAUAGCAACGUUCAAUCGGUAAGGACCUUGCUACAUGUACACUAUGCUGUACACUUUUCCACGUGACAUUACCCAGUUGGACCGUUUAAAUUUCAAAUAGUUUUCCCAUCCAAUUGACACUUGACAACAAUACAAGUGUCAAACAACGAGUCAAAAAUCAGUGUACACUAGCAAAGUUCAAUCGGAAAGAACCUUGCUACAUGUACACUGUGGUACUCACACUUGAGUUUACACUUCGCCAUGUGAAAUUGCCGUGUUGGACAGUUUAAAUUUCAAAUAGUUUUCCCGUCCAAUUGGUACUUGACAACAAUACAAGUGUCAAACAACGUGUUAAAAAUCAUUAUACAAAUAGCAAAGUUCAAUUGGUAAGAACCUUGCUACAUGUACACUGCGGUGUUCACACUUUAGUUUACACUUUGCCACGUGACAUUACCCUGUUCGACAGUUUAAAUUUCACACAGUUUUUCCAUCCAAUUGGCACUUGACAACAAUGUAAGUAUCAAACAACUUUUCAAAAAUCAGUGUACAAAUAGCAAAGUUUAAUCGGUAUGAACCAUGCUAUAUGUACUCUAUGGUGUACACUUUAAUUUACACUUUGCGACAUGACAUUGCUCUACUAGACAGUUUAAAUUUCAAAAAAUUUUCCAUCCAAUUAACACGUGACAACAAUGCAGGUGUCAAACAACAUGUCAAAAAUCAGUGUACAAAAUGACAAAAAGCAAUCUAUAAGAACCUUGCUACUAGUACACUAUGGGGUACACAUUAGUUUAUACAUUGCCACGUGAAAUUACCCUGUUGGACAGUUUAAAUUUCAAAUAGUUUUCCCAUCCAAUUGACAGUAGACAACAAUGCAAGAGUCAAACAACAUGUCAAAAAUCAGUGUACAAAUAGCAAAGUUCAAUCGAUAAGGACCUUGCUACAUGUACACUAUAGUGUACACUUUAGUUUAUACUUUGCCACAUGACAUUACCCUGUUGGACAGUAUAAAUUUCAAACAAUUUUUCCAUCCAAUUGACACUUGACAACAAUGCAAAUGUUAAACAACGUGUCAAAAAUCAGUGUACAAAUAGCAAAGUUCAAUCGGUAAGCGCCUUACUACAUGGACACUAUGGUGUACACUUUAGUUUACACUUUGCCACGUGACAUUACCUUUUUCGACAGUUUAAAUUUCAAAUAGUUUUCCCAUCUAAUUACACUUGACAACAAUGAAAGUGUCCAACAACGAGUCAAAAAUUAGUGUACAAAUAGCAAAGUUCAAUCGAUAAGGACCUUGCUACAUGUGCACUAUGGUGUAUACUUUUGUUUACACUUUGGCACAAGACAUUACCCUGCUGGACAGUUUAAAUUUCAAAUAAUUUUUUCAUCCAAUUAAGACAUGACAACAAUGCAAGUGUCAAACAAAGCGUCACAAAUCAGUGUAGAAACAGCAAAGUUCAAUCGAUAAGGCCCUUGCUACAUGUACACUACGGUGUACACACUUUAGUUUACACUUUACCCCGUGACAUUAUCCCACUGGACAAUUUAAAUUUCAAACAAUUUUUUCAUCCAAUUGACACUUGACAACAAUGCAAGUGUCAAGCAACGAGUCAAAAAGCAGUGUACAAAUAGCGAAGUUCAAUCGGUAGGGACCUUACUACAAGUACACUAUUUUGUACACUUUAGUUUAUACUUUGCCCCGUCACAUUACCCUGUUGGGCAGUAUAAAUUUCAAACUGUUUUUUCAUCCAAUUGACAAUUGACAACAAUGCAAGUGUCGAACAACGUGUCAAAAAUCAGUGUACAAAUAGCAAAGUUUAAUCGGUAUGAACCAUGCUACAUCUACACUAUGGUGUACACUUCAAUUUACACUUUGCCACGUGACAUUACACUGUUGGACAUUUAAAAUUUGAAAAAGUUUUUCUAUCUAAUUGACACGUGACAACAAUGCAGGUGUCAAACAACAUGUCAAAAAUUAGUUUACAAAUGGCAAAGAUCAAUCAGUAAGAACUUUGCUACUAGUACACUAUGGGGUACACUUUAGUUUUCACUUUGCUGCGUGAAAUUACCCUGUUGGACAGUUUAAAUUUCAAACAGUUUUCCCAUCCAAUUGACACUUGACAACAAUGCAAGUGUCAAACAACGUGUCAAAAAUCAAUGUACGAAUAGCAAAGUUUAAUCAUUGUGAACCAUGCUACGUGUACACUCUGGUUUACACUUUGAUUUACACUUGCCACGUGACAUUACCCUGUUGGACAGUUUAAAUUUCAAAAAGUUUUUCCUUCUAAUUGACACAUGAAAGCAAUGUAGGUGUCAAACAAUGUGUCAAAAAUCAGUGCACAAAUGGCAAAGUUCAAUCAGUAAGAACCUUGCUACAUGUACACUAUAGAGUGCACUUUAGUUUACACUUUGCCACAUGACAUUGCCCUGUUGGACUGUUUAAAUUUCAAACAAUUUUUCCAUCCAAUUGACACUUGACAAUAAUGCAAGUAUCAAACAACGUGACAAAAAUCAAUGUACAAAUAGCAAAGUUCAAUCGGUAAGCACCUUGCUACAUGGACACUAUGGUGUACACUUUAGUUUACACUUUACCACGUGACAUUACCCUGUUCGACAGUUUAAAUUUCAAAUAGUUUUCCCAUCUAAUUUACACUUAACAACAAUGCAAGCUUCCAACAACGAGUCAAAAAUUAGUGUACAAAUAGCAAAGGUAAUCGGUAAGGAGCUUGCCACAUGUACACUAUGGUGUACACUUUAGUUUACACUUUAACACAAGAUAUUACCCUGCUAGAUAGUUUAAAUUUCAAACAGUUUUUCCAUCCAAUUGAGACUUGACAACAAUGCAAGUGUCAAACAACAUGUCAAAAAUCAGUGUACAAAUAGCAAAGUUCAAUCAGUAAGGACCUUACUAUGUGUACACUAUGGUGUACACACAUUAGUUUACACUUUGCCAUGUGACAUUACUCUGCUGGACAAUAUAAAUUUCAAACAAUUUUCCCAUCCAAUUGACAAUAGAUAAAAAUGAAAGUGUCAAAGAAUGUGUCAAAAAUUGGUGUAGAAAUAACAAAGUUCAAUCGGUAAGGACCUUGGUACACGUACCCUAUGGUGUACACUUUAGUUUACACUUUGCCAUGUGACAUUACCCUGUUGGACAGUUUAAAUUUCAAAUAGUUUUCCCAUCCAAUUGACACUUGACAACAAUGCAAGUGUCAAACAACGUGUCAAAAAUCAGUGUACACUAGCAAAGUUCAAUCGGUAAGAACCUUGCUACAUGUACACUAUGGUAUUCACACUUUAGUUUACACUUUGCCACGUGACAUUACCGUAUUAGAUAGUUUAAAUUUCAAAUAGUUUUCCCAUCCAAUUGGUACUUGACAACAAUACAAGUGUCAAACAACGUGUUAAAAAUCAUUGUACAAAUAGCAAAGUUCGAUCGGUAAGAACCUUGCUUCAUGUACACUAUGGUGUUCACAUUUUAGUUUACAAUUUGCCACGUGACAUUACCCUGUUCGACAAUUUAAAUUUCAAAGAGUUUUUCCAUCCAAUUGGCACUUGACAACAACAUGUCAAAAAUCAGUGUACAAAUAGCAAAGUUUAAUCGGUAUGAACCAUGCUACAUGUAUACUAUGGUGUACACUAUUCACUAAAUUAUUUCUUUUGAUUUAAAACUACCGCAAGUGUACGGUUCGUUAACAAGUAAUAAAGUGGAUUAAAUGAGUCCGAAUAUUGUCCCACAGAGAUUGUGAUAUGAUCCAGGAGUCGAGCCCGACGAAGGCAAGUGCGAGAUGAGACCCGUUGAUAGUUGAUGGCGGACCAAUGACGCGAUCAAGGGCAAAGCAAGUGAAACAAGCAAUGGAAUUGCUCGUUCAAGAAACCAUGGAUGGAACCAAGUCUGGGACUCAAAAUGGAGCAACUUUCAUGUUCGGGUCGAAGGCCGAAUCGAUUUGGAUCAAUUUGUUAUCAAGCGACGAAAGCGGAGGCAAAAAUCAAGACCAUGCGGCCGCACAGGUAAAAUUACAUGUAGCCGCACAGCAUGAUACCGAAAACCAAAAGACCAGCUCAAGUUAAACCAUGCGACCGCAUGAGCCAAAAAAAUUAGCGAUUUUUCUAGUUUUGGCCGAAUUUCCUAGUUUCGAUAGAAUUCUUAUGGAAUCAAAUUAUUACCAUAAUUUGAUGGUUUUGGACGUUUUUAUUCAUUAGUAUAAAUAGGAGAAUAUCUUUUCAUUGUAAAAACCUUUGAACUUUUGACAUUGCUUAAUAUUAUAGAGAGAGAAUUAUUCUUUCAAUUUAAUUGUUCUUCUUGAACAAUCUUGGAACUUAUCAAGAUUCAACUUCUUGUGGCAUUCUAUCAAUUGGAUUGUGGGUUCUUUCAAUUGUAAUCAAGGGGUUUAAGGUUCUUCGCUAAUCUAGGGUUUCUUGGUUCAAUUCUUGGGGUUCAAGAUCCAAAAUCGGGUUAGUAUUGGCGUUCUUGGGUUCCGCAUCAAUCUCAUUGUGGGUUUCGUAGUUUCCAUUGCUACGGGGUUCACAUCAGAUUGAUUAGUUCAAUUUUACCUAUCGUCGCCUUAACCGAAACAAUUGAAAUUCUUGCUAUUUUUGCUCACUAAAUUAUGAAUUAAUAACCUACUUAUAAAUAUAAAGCCUAAAUUAACUAGACUAAAUGCGUGAUUAUAACUAAAUGCAAGUUUUAUAAAAAUAUGAUAAUGAAAUGCGUACUAGGAUCCCGAAUCCCCUUAAACCUUCAAUCCCCUUUAAUCCGAAUUUUAUAAAAUUGAUAACACGAUUCAAUUAUGAAGACCAAUAUUCCUAAUUUGUUUAACAAUCUCUCUCGAGUAGAAUUAAACCUAUUUUCACAUGCGAUCCGACUAUAUUUCUAUGACGAAUGCGAACAUAUAAAAAUGCAUUAAAGAUUUAUGAGUACUUAAAGAUUAUGUAAAGCAUAGCGGUAUAUUUCUAUCCCCUAUCGAACUUUACGACAAUUAACAUAAUGUCUAACUUAUUUUCCAUCUCUCGAGGGUAAAAUAAGCCACAAAGCUCAUACAACUAUUGCACACAUAAUUGUAGAGAAAAUAAAAUCCAUGCCAAUCAUUCAAUAAUUAAAAAUAUGUUUUAACGUCAAAUUAAUAAAAUUCAAGAUUAAGGAUUCAUAAUAUAAGGUUCAUCGCAAAUCCUAGCACAUGAAAAUCUAGCCUAACAUAAUGGAAAAUAAAGAAAAACAAUAAUUAAAACCAAGGAAGAACAUCACCUAAUUGAUUUUUGAAGUGAAAUCUUCAAUCUUAAAGUGGGUUGCCUUGUUUUUGCCUUGUUAUUCCUCUCCAAAUCCUUCAAAAUUGUGUAUAUUCUCCAACUCUUUAUGUUUCAGGGUCGUCUGGCAUUUAUUGGGGAUGGAAUUAGGUCAAGGAAGUCGCCCAAAACCUUACUAAAUCGUGUUUGAGUCGAAUAAGGAAACCUGAGAUUUAGUCACAAUUUUAUACCAUGCGACCGCAUGGUAUAAAACCAUGCUACCGCAUGGUUCAGAAGUUUCAGCCCAGAUUUUUCCCUAUAUUGCCUUGUGCGACCGCAAGGAAUUAUAACCAUGUGACCACAUGGUUAUAGAAAAUUUUCCAUCGGACAGCUUUCAGUAUUUGGAUCAUAUCUUCGUCUCCCAAUAUUCAAUUGAGAUUAUUCAAAGUGUUUUGGAAAGAGAACUCAUAGAUUUUAAUAGAAAUAGGCUUCCUCAAAUUCUGAUGUUUACUAUGCGAAAAAUGGAUCUCAAGUAGAUACUAAAAAUCACGAGCGUAGCUUUUUUGCCUGAAAGUUCAUACUUGAUAAUACUUCAACCAUAUUUCACCUCUUGACUCAUUUUCUCAUCCGAUUGACCUCUAACACUCUUGAAUCUUCAUUCCAUUUCUGUCUCAUCUAUAGAUUAUUUGCAACUUGGUCCCCGAACUUUCAGUUUGCUCCAUUUUAGUCCUUUUCCGGCUCUUUUCUCCUGAAUUCCACCAUUUCUAUAGAAACACUUACAUUGCAUGAAUCCAACGAGAUUAAAUCACAAUUUAAACAUUUUUCUCGUAAUUAAGUCAUGUUUGUGAUCUAAAUAAGUGUGCAAAAACAUACUUAUCAAACCCCCCAAACUUGAACUAUUGUUUGUCCUCAAACAAGAUAGCGACUUAAUUCUGAACAAACAUGGCUUAAUACCCUGCUGUGGCUCAGGAUUGGACUAAGUAUUAGACUUUAUGAAAAUUUAUCAGGGCAAAAAUGACAUCAACCUUUACCUGUUAAAUGCGUACUUGACGUGUGUGUGUGAAUUCAUGCCAACAUAUUAGGUUCAUGAUGAAUUUGAGUCCCGACCCCAAGUGGUCAAAUGUGUCCUUACUUGCUCGAGAGAUACACAACCCCCCCAAAUUUAUUCUUUUCACUCAAUUAUCCCGGGGUUGUGUUUUAAGAUUAGAAAUUUACAUAGCUGUAGUCCUCACCCUCUCAUAGUUUGGAUUAAUCUCACUAUCACAAGUUUACAUUUCAACAAGUGAAGGCUCUCCCAAAUUUGAUUGCUUCGACACUCAAGAUUAGAAUAGGUUACUUGCCUCGCCUCGAAGGUAUAGUUUCCUCAACCAAAUGUCUAAGGGCUUUUCUUCUUGUUAAUGUCUCUCUUUUGUUUUUCUCACUUUCCAUUUUUUUUAAUAUAUCAUCUUCUAAUUUGCUUUCUAUAUAACCCCUUUAGCAAGCUUUAGGCCGAUGACUCCCAAACCAGUUGGUUUUAGGGCACCAGGUUUUAAACCCUUGCAGGCUUAUUCACUCGACUUAUAAAGGCUAGAUCAGAUGACUUUUUAUUAACCUCUUUCCUUCUUGCUUUCUAUAUGACUCAUUUACCGAACUUUCGGCCGGUGACUCCCAGGCCAGUUGACCUUAUGGCACUAGAUUUUGAAAUAUCCUUACAGGCUUACUUGCUCAAGUUAUAAAGGCAUGAAAAGAAGUGUCUUGUUCUCACAAAUUUAUUUUAUGCCCUUAUUGUUCUAUACAUUUAGUUUCCAAAACCAACCCCUAAUUUAAGAUUUUCACCUAAUCUUCAUCUUACUGGUCUAGUCAAUCCACACAAUAAAAUUCAUGCACCGAGCCCCCACUCAUCUCAAUGCUCCCCUAUAAUAGCUCAACCAUCACCAAACUAUCUUUAGGUAGUUUACGGGUUAAUUCAAUAGAGGGUUAUCAUUCUUUUCCUACUUUAUGCUCAAAAUCCAGUCAUUCAUAUAACAUGUCAAGCAUGAAUAGCACGCGUAGAUAAUGUCAAGUGUUACAUCAACAAGUAUCAGUUAGUCAAUUAACACCAGAUCUAAAGUUUUGUAGUUUAAACAAGUCCAAUAAUAACAUCAUAGCUACGUGAACUAUGGUGUACACUUUAGUUUACACUUUGCCACGUGAUAAUAUCCAGUUGGACAACUUAAAUUUUAAACAAUUUCCCUAUCCAAUUGACACUUGACAACAACACAAGGGUCAAACACGGUGUCAAAAAUCAGUGUACAAAUAGCAAAAUUCUAUCGAAAAGGAUCUUUCUACGUGUACACUAUGGUGUACACUUUAGUUUAUGCUUUGUCACGUGACAUUACCCCGUUGGACAGUUUAAUUUCAAAAAAUUUUCCAAUCCAAUUUACCCUUGACGACAAUGCAAAUGUCAAAGAACGUUUCAAAAAUCAGUGUACAAAUAGCAAAAUUCAAUCGGUAAGGACCUUGCUACAUGUACACAAUGGUGUACACUUUAAUUUACACUUUGCCACGUGACAUUACCCAAUUGGACAAUUUAAAUUUCAAACAAUUUUCCCAUCCAAUUGACACUUGACAACAAUGUAAGUGUCAAACAACGUGUAAAAAAAUCUGUGUACAAAUAGCAAAGUUCAAUCGGUAUGAAUCUUGCUACAUGUACACUAUGGUGUACACUUUAGUUUACGCUUUGCCACGUGACAUUACUCAGUUGGACAGUUUAAAUUUCAAAUAGUUUUCCCAUCCAAUUGACACUUGACAACAAUGCAAGUGUCAAACAACUUGUAAAAAAUCAGUGUACAAAUAGCAAAGUUCAAUUGGUAAGAACCUUGCUAUAUGUACAGUAUGGUGUUCACACUUUGUGACAUGACAUUACCAUGUUCGACAGUUUAAAUUUUAAACAGUUUUCCCAUCCAAUUGGCACUUGACAACAAUACAAGUGUCAAAUAACAUGUCAAAAAUAAGCGUACAAAUAGCAAAAUUAAAUAUAUAUGAACUAUGCUACAGGUACACUAUGGUGUACACUUUAAUUCACACUUCUCCACGUGACAUUACCCCGUUGGACAGUUUAAAUUUGAAAAAGUUUUUCCAUCUAAUUGACACGUGACAACAAUGCAAGUUUUAAACAACAUGUCGAAAAUCUGUGUACAAAUGACAAAGAUCAAUCAAUAAGAACCUUGCUACUAGUACACUAUGGGGUACACUUUAGUUUACACUUUGCCAUGUGACAUUAACCUGUUGAACAGUUUAAAUUUCAAACAUUUUUCCCAACCAGUUGACACUUGACAACAAUGCAAGUAUCAAACAAUGUGUCAAAAAUCAGUGUACAAAUCGCAAAGUUCGAUCGGCAAGAACCUUGCUUCAUGUACACUAUGGUGUAAACAUUGCCACAUGACAUUUCCAUGUUGAACAUUUUAAAUUUCAAAUCGUUUUUUCAUCCAAUUGACACUUCAUAAUAGUGCAAGUGUCAAACAACGUUUCAAAAAUCAGUUUACAAAUAGCAAAGUUCAAUCGGUAAGGACCUUGCUACAUGAACACUAUGGUGUACACUUUAGUUUACACUUUACCACGUGAUAUUACCCUGCUGGACAGUUUAAAUUUCAAAAAGUUUUCCCAUCCUAUUGACAAUUGACAACAACGCGAGUGUCAAACAAUGUGACAAAAAUUAGUGUACAAAUAGCAAAGUUCAAUCGAAAAGAAUCUUACUACAUGUACACUAUGGUGGUCACACUUUAGUUUACACUUUGUCACGUGACAUUACCGUGUUGGACAGUUUAAAUUUCAAACAAUUUUUCCAUCCAAUUGGGACUUGACAACAAUGCAAGUGUCAAAUAAUGUGUCAAAAAUUAGUGUACAAGUAGCAAAGUUCAAUAGGUAAGAACCGUGCUACAUGUACACUAUGGUGUUCACACCUUAGUUUACACUUUGCCACGUGACAUUACCCUAUUGGAUAGUUUAAAUUUCAAACAGUUUUCCAUCCAAUUGGCAGUUCACAACAAUACAAGUGUUAAACAACUUGUCAAAAAUAAGUGUACAAAUAGCAAAGUUUAAUCGGUAUGAACCAUGCUACGUGUACACUAUGGUGUACACUUUGAUUUACACUUUGCUACAUGACAUUACCCUAUUGGACAGUUUAAAUUUCAAAAAAAAUUUCCAUCUAGUUGAUAUAUGAUAACAAGGCAGGUGUCAAACAACAUGUCGAAAAUUAGUGUACAAAUGGCAAAGAUCAAUCAGUAAGAACCUUGCUACUAGUACACUAUGGGGUACACUUUAGUUUACACUUUACCACGUGACAUUACUGUGUUUGACAAUUUAAAUUUCAAAUAGUUUUACUAUCCAACUGACACUUGACAACAAUGCAAGUGUCAAACAACGUGUCGAAAAUCAGUGUACAAAUAGCAAAGUUCAAUCAGUAAGAACCAUGCUUCAUGUACACUAUGGUAUACACUUUGCCACGUGGCAUUUCCAUGUUGGACAGUUUAAAUUUCAAACAGUUUUUCCAUCCAAUUGACACUUCACAACAAUGCAAGUGUCAAACUACGUGUCAAAAACCAGUGUACAAGUAGCAAAGUUCAAUCGGUAAGCACCUUGCUACAUGGACACUAUGGUGUGCACUUUAAUUUAUACUUUGCCAUGUGGCAUUACCCUAUUGGAUAGUUUGAAUUUCAAACAGUUUUCCCAUCCAAUUGACACUUGACAACAAUGCAAGUGUCGAAAAAUGUGUUAAAAAUCGGUGUACAAAUAGCAGAGUUUAAUCGGUGUGAACCAUGCUACAUGUACACUAUGGUAUACACUUUAAUUUACACCUGCCAUGUGACAUUACCCUGUUGGAUAGAUUAAAUUUUAAAAACUCUUUCCAUCUAAUUGACACUUGAAACCAAUGUAGGUGUUAAACAACGUGUCGAAAAUCAGUGCACAAAUGGCAAAGUUCAAUCAGUAAGAACCUUACUACAUAUACACUAUGGGAUACACUUUAGUUUACACUUUGUUACGUGACAUUACCCCUAUUGGACUGUUUCAAUUUCAAAUGGUUUUCCCAUUCAAUUGACACUUGACAGCAAUGAAAGUGUCAAACAACGUGUCAAAAAUCAGUGUACAAAUAACAAAGUUCAAUGGUAAGCACCUUGCUACAUGGACACUAUGGUGUACACUCUAGUUUAUACUUUGCCACAUGACAUUACCUGUUGGACAGUUUAAAUUUCAAAUAGUUUUCCCAUUCUAUUAACACUUGACAACAACGCCAGUGUAAAACAAUGUAACAAAAAUCAGUGUGCAAAUAUCAAAGUUCAAUCGGUAAGAACCUUACUACUUGUUCACUAUGGUGUACACUUUAGAUUACACUUUCCCACGUGACAUUACCUGGUUGGACAGUUUAAAUUUCAAAUAGUUUUUCCAUCCAAUCGACACUUAACAACAAUGCAAGUGUCAAGCAACGUGUAAAAAAUCAGUGUACAAAUAGCAAAGUUCAAUCGGUGAGGACCUUCUAAAAUGUACACUAUGGUGUACACUUUAGUUUACACUUUGCCACAUGACCUUAACCAGUUGGACAGUUUAAAUUUCAAAUAGUUUUUCCAUCCAAUUGGCACUUGACAACAUGUAAGUGUCAAACAACGUGUCAAAAUCAGUGUACAAAUAGCAAAGUUUAAUUGGUAUGAACCAUGCUACAUGAACAUUAUGGUGUACACUUUAUUUUAC